rnacentral:lncRNA from 1 species
GUUGCUGGUGCAUGCACCCCCCUCCAGCCUGCAGGUGCUGCGCGAUGCCUGGCGUCGCCGAGCGCUGCGCCCACCUCGAGGCUUCCACAUCAGGGCGGUGGGUGAGUGCAGGGCCCCCGAAAGAAGCGGCGUCCCGCGCAAGCUGCAGGGACCGGUAUGCGAUCCCCUGCCACAGGGAUGAGACACAACCCAGAGAGAACAGGAGUUAGGGGGUGAGGGAGCCAGUCGUGUGACUGGAGGAGGGCUGGCUUGCUGAAACACUCUGGAGACCGUUCCUCCUGUUAGGACACUGAAGCGUCAGACCCCAGGGUAUGCCUAGCUCCAGGAUGCCUCCUUUCCGCAACUAUUUAAAAGUUCCUACAUAGGUUCCUGGAGGAAGGAACUUUCUACUUAGAAAAGUGAUGCUAUGGGCCGCCAGAGCUGCAGUCAGAGGGCAGGGGCUCCCGUCUACGCUUCAUAGGAGAGCUUAGGGAAGAAGGAUCUGUCGAAUCUGGCUUCUCUCCCCCUUCCCCCGCCCUCUCUCUUCUAACUAAACUACUGACUUGGAGUGUCCUGCUGUACUGCAUGGUGUGGUCGUUUGGGUUCAGGGUCUAGCAGGUUUUGGGUUCUUAACUGCUGGGGAAAAGAAAGAGGUGGUGCUCUGGACACAAUCACUCCCAUUAACCGAAUAGACAAGCUUCCACAUCCCCAUUCUUUGUUAGAAAACAGACGGCAGCAUUUUGCCAGUAUAAAAUAGCUUCUCAUUUGAGAAACCAAGACUGCACCAGUGAGUGGUCACUGAUACUGGCCACUAAACUAAGGUAACAAUGCCGCAACCAAUCAUAUAGCCUAGUAUUUAUGUGGGUUGUAUUUAUAUGGGCUUGUGAGGUCCAUUUGAUGGAAUGUUGUUGACAAACCACCAGUUGUUCCAGCCCUGAGUUUUGAUUCCAAGGAACCCCUCUAUCUUAGUCCAUAAAUCUUCUUCCUCCUUCCAUCUAAGGAGGAGGAGCAGUAAAUAAACAAUUGUUUCAGUCCCCCAGGGCAAAAGAACAGGGGGGCAGGAGGCACCUGAUGCUGGGUGUCAUCUCUCCAAGGAUAGCUGAAGCAGCUACAGGCCAGUGCAGCUAAUUUUUGUUUGUAUUUUAAAAUUAUUUGUUUGUUUAUUUUUGCUGUACUGGGAUUAACCCAGGGGCCCUUUACCAUUGAGCUUUUUAUUUUUUAUUUUGAGACACAGUCUUGCUAAGUUGCCCAGGCUGGCCUUGAACUUGUGGUCCUUCUGCCUCAGCCUCCCAAGUAGCUAAGAUUACAGGUGUGCACCACCAUGCCUGAUCAGUGCAGCUAAACCUUGGCUUCUCAUCUCUAUUCUGUCUGCCUCCUCCCCACUCCCACAUUUUUUCCUUAAAAGUAGCAACUACAACAAAAAGCACUCAUUGCAAAACUAUAUAUGCACAUUUUAUCUUCUUUUACAUGAAGGAGUGAGUGAAGAAAAUAGUUUUCUGGCUCUGAGAGCAGUGAGCCAAGUAGCCAAGCCAAAAUCCUCACAGGGAAGGGGUCUUUCAGACAGGCUGGAUGAAAAACUCUUUUCAGUUCUGUGUCCUGGGUUUUUCUGGUUUUAAUUAGUGGUUACAUUCUCUGGUUCUCCCACCCCCCACCCCCCUUUCAAAGGGUAAGCAUAGAGUCUAUUGCAUCGAGGGAGUAGGAUGCAGUGGGGAUCUAGACCUGGGAGUGAAAUAAGAGAGGGCUUAUGCUAAGUCAGAGGCAGCCAUGAUGCCACUAUCUGGGCCCACCAAGCAUUGCUGAAUACUGAUAUAGAGACAGAAAAUUUCCUUCCUAUCAUAAUGGACAUUAUUGAAAUCCCUGUAACAAAAGACAGAUGUUGGUACACACCUGUAAUCCUGGCUACUCUGGAGACUGAGGAAGGAGAAUUGCUAGUUCAAGGACAGCCUCAGUAAUUUAGCAAGACCCUGUCUUAAAAGGGUGUGGGGGGGGGCGCAGUGCUGGAGAUAUACAUCAGUGGUAAAGCACCCCUGGAUUCAAUCCCCAGUACAAAAACAAACAAACAAAGUAACAAGAGAAAAGCAUAACAGAUUUAUUUAAUCAAAGUUUUGCAUGACUUGGAAGCCUUCAAAACUGAUCCAAAAGAGGAGCUGGGGUUGUGGCUCAGCAGUAGAGCGCUUGGCUAGCUAGCACAUGUGAGGCCCUGGGUUCUAUCCUCAGCACCACAUAAAAAUAAAGAUAUUGUGUCCAACUACAACUAAAAAAUAAAUAUUAAAAAAAUUUAUUUAAAAAAUGAUCCAAAAGAUCCAGGGAGGGCUGUGGCUGUGGCUCAGUAGUAGAGCGCUUGCCUAGCAUGUGUGAGGCACUGGGUUCAAUUCUCAGCACCACAUAAAAAUAAAUCAAUAAAAUAAAGGUAUUGUGUCCAAUACAAGUAUGAAUAAAUAAAUAAAGGUAUUGUAUCCAUCUACAACUAUGAGUAUUUAAAAAGAAUAGGCCAGAGAACCAGGUAGGUCUUAAAGAGAGAGAGAGAGAGAGAGAGAUCCAGGGAGAACUGCUUAUUGUAAUGCUCAGAUCAAACGAAGAAGGGACAGCCACAUAGGAAUGAGACUGGGCAAAAAGCUAUGACCUGAUGGUGAUGGACGGAUGGGGGAAUCCCAGCAAGGCCCGUUUGUUCAGAUACCCUUGGCUUCUCUGUGCAGCAUUCCUUCCUCAUAUAUGUAGGUAAGGACCCCUCUGGAAUGAGAGUCUUAUGAUCUACUAUCAGACAAAAUAGGUCAGAAAAUUUCAUUAUGGCCAGAUCUUAAAACACAGUAAGGUAGGGGAAGGUUAGAGGAAUAUUUCUAGGUUUUAUAUUUGUCUUUGGAAGAAAGAGGUCUAAUCUCUGUGACCCACCUUGAAGAAAAGGAAUCUUUAGGUCUGCUUUGGAAAAAGUAGAACUGGAGGAGGAAAGAUUUUGCCUCUGAGGCCAUCCUCUAUUCAGAGUCCUCAGCAUGCCAAAGCACCAAUUGUUCUUCUGACACUGUUAUGUGGGUUAGUCCUCUGUGUCGCCGGUGUCCCCAUCCUGCGCCCGCUAGGUAGUACCGCCUGUCACACAACUCAGGAUGCAGUGGACUCCAUUCUGUAUUUUUCUCCUGGGUCAUCAUACCUGACCUGCAUCCCUGGACAGGAAUAAUUUCAAGGUUUUUAAUUAUGUCCUUACAGGAAUUUGGACAUUCAGCUGGAAUUUGGACAAAACCAUUCAUGAGUGUGUGACACCCUUGGGUUUAGUGCCCCAAAAACAAAAGGGGGAAAAAAAAUCCAUGAGAAAAUUUUGAGGAGCAAAAUUGGAGAAGAAUCUUAUUUGAUGCCAAGUGAUGGAUGCACCAGGGGUGUUUGUGGGUGCUCUUGUUUUGAAUAGUGUUGUUAAUUACUAUCCAAUUUGGGAUCCUGGGAUCAGAUCAAUAGAGAAGAGUUGUCAGGGCAGCUUUCAGGCCACCAUUAGAGUCCCAGAGGGUGGUGAAGACAGAAGAAGCAUCUUUCCCCCAACGGAAAAAUUUCCAGUCUGCUUGCUUUAUGGGCUUCCAAAGCCAAAAUGGGCUUCCAAGAAGGUGAGAGAAGAGCUGCUGUGGACACAGGUUCUCACUCUUGUUACUUUGUGGGAAAGAGCAAAAUGCUAGAAAAGGACACGAAGAACCAAUGUGGUCUCUUUGCUGUCCAAUUUUUUUUUUCUUUUAAGGCUCAUAUAGUCCUGCAUUAAACCAUCUGGGCACAUGGAGUAUUGCUAUUGGUCACUGCUACAGAAGAUAGAGGAAGAGGCAGGCCAGUUUUAUAAACCCAGCAGUCAUAUGGCUCCAAGGAGCCUGCUGGCUGUGCAGACAGGAGUGACCCAAGUCCCCAGGUGCAGACCUAAGCAUAAGUCCUGCAUUUAUGCGUUCUCCAAACUUUGUGCCUUUUCUUUCCCUCUUCAUUUUCUGUACAUCAUCUUUCCUCUAGUGAGAAAAUCGAUGCCAGGAAGAAUAUUUUUUUUAAAAGAGGGACAGUUGGAUCUUUAGUUUGAUGACAGGGAGCUCAUUCUUCUUUUGUGUGCUAGUCCCCAAGGGUUUGUGUUUUGUUUUUCAUUAGCAAAUGGCAUUAACAAAUGAAAGGGUGUGUUCUGGAAACUGCCAAGAGACAGCUGUUUACCCAGCAGCUGUGUGUGCAGAGAGUGGAGUGGUGAGAGGGGACACCUGCCUUUGUUUGGGAGACUCUGUUGCUACUGAGACCAUACCUACUGUGACACCGAAAGUUAAUGGUGGAAGGCCACUUGGCCAAAUAAGUUUGUUACAUUCUGAAAAUUAGAGCAGAGGUGUCACCACCCUUUCACACUCAGCAGGGCCUGUCAUCUUUUCUCAUUGGGUAAAAAUGCCCCAAAUGUCCACAGCUCUUUUAUUUAUAACACUGGCUUUAUGAAUUCAUUCAUGUGCCAAGUACUAUUCUAGAUGUCUCUGUGGUGUUUGUUUUGUGGUACUGGGGAUUAAACCCAGGGCUUCAGGGUGCAUGUGAGGCAAGCUGUCAUCGUCUACUACUGAGCUACAUCCCGCUCUGUUUAUUUUGUUUCGAGAUAGGUUCUCCCUAAGUUGCCCAGUUUGGCCUUGAACUUUCAGUCCUCCUGCCUCAGACUCUUGGGAUUACAGGCUUGCAUCAUCACACCUGGGUUAUAUUUUAAUGUAUCUUUCAGACUUACCUGUGCUCAAAGAUAAGGUGGAGUCAGUCUGUUUCUUCCAUUCAAUUAGAGAGGGUACAGCUGGGCUGGAGCUGUGGCUCAGGCUCAAUGGUAGAGCGCUUGUCUCACACUGUGAGGCCCUGGGUUCGAUCCUCAGCACCACCUAAAAAUAAAUAAAUAAAAUAAAGGUAUUGUGUCCAUCUACAACAACAACCACAAAAGAGGGUCUAGUCGAGUGGGAGGCCAUGUUCCAGAAGCUGACUGGUGCACAUAGUCUUCUCCAUCCCACCGUGAUUGAUACACAUGGGCCCUAAAGUUUCUGCUUUGGGCAAAAGUUCCCUGGUGUGUGUUUGGUGGGUAGUGCUGGUCAGGCAGGACAGCCUGGCCAGGGGGAAGUGAUGGGAGGACCUUUCCACUUUUCAUGUACUUCCUACCUGUUCCUCCAGACACCUCUGAGUGCAGCCUUCCAGUCAUAGAGAUAUCAAGGUGGAACUGUGAGUGCUUGUGCUGGAGUGGUAGUACUCUUGCCUGGCAUGGGUUUGAUCCCCAAUAUUACAAAAAAAAAAAAAUUUAAAGUUUUAAGUACGAUAGCAGUAUAGAGACCAUUACUAAUUAAUGUUACAUGUCAAUGGUUCAUUCCAGGAUCUAUCUUGGUUUGGGAGAGGAGGAACAGUUCAGUGAAACUUGGUGCCUGAUGGCAAAUCUCUGAUACCUUUUAACUCUCCUGAGACCUGAGGAAUGGUGUGGGAGGAGAGAAAAGGAGUGAAAUGACUCUAGCUCUGCCUUUUUUCUGAAGUCCUACUUGAAUAGCAGUAGGGCCUCUUGUAGGGGUUAGCUAAUGGAGUUUGUAGGUGAAAUUUUUAUUUAGUGAACUGCAUAAUUUUUUUCAAUGCUUUUUGUAACUUUUUUUUUUCAGACAGUUCUCAAUAUUUUCCUAAACUGGCCUUGAAUUUGCCAUCUUCCUACCUUUGUCUCCUGAGUAGUUGGGUUUCAAUGUAGCAUAGCAUCCUGCACGAAAUGCACAGACGUUAAAUGUACUUUUUUGUAUGUGUGGUGAACCCAGGGGCACACUACCACUGAGCUCUAUCGCAAGUCCUUUUUAAUUUUUAUUUUGAGACAGGGUCUUGCUAAGUUUCUGAGGCUGGCCUUGAAUUUGCCAUCCUCCUGCCUCAGCCUCUGGAGUAGCUGGGAUUAUAGGAAUGCGCUACUGCAUGUGGCAUUCUGAUUUUUUUAAACCAUAAAUAAGUUUCACCUGUUCAAGAAUGUCACAUAAAUGGCCUUAAGUAGGAUGAACUCUUUUGUAAGAGGAUUCUUUCUCUUGAAUCUUGAAAUUCUUCCCUGUUUUUAGUUUGUUCCUUUUUGUCACUGAGUAGUAUUCUAUUGUAUGAGUAUAUUGUAUAUCAUAGAUUAUUCAUUUUCCCUUAUGUAGACACCUGGAUGUUUCUAGUUUAUGGCUAUUAUGAAUAAAGCAUCUGUGAAUAUUUGCAUAGAAAUUUUUUAAUGCUUUUACUUCUUUUAGAUAAAAUACCUAGCAGAGAAAUUUCUAACUCAUAGUUUACAUUUAGUUUUAUGAUUGGAUGUUGAGAGCCACAGCCAAAGGGGCCCCAGCAAACUUCCAGCUGCCAGCUGAUGAUUGGCUCACAGCGGCCCCAGCAACAUCUAGCUGAUUGGCUCCUCUGCGGUGAUGCUCAUUGGGCUGUUUCCCUGCCCUUUCAGACCACGGAGCUGCUCAUUGGGGGACUUUUUUGGCUCCGCCCACGUGACCCAGCCAAUCGGCCUCAAGAGCAGGAGGAUUGUGGGAGGUGGGGAGAAGCUUGUGUGGGAGAGAGAGGCUUGUGGAAAGCCGGUGGUGGCAGUUGAGGCUCUGAGGGUUUUUCCUGAGAGGCUGUUUUGUUUGGCGUGUGUGGUUCUAAAAAUAAAGUUAGUUUCUUUUGACAAGUGGCUCCUGAUUGUGCCCAGCCAGACUGCGGCUUUUGGUGGCCCGUACGGGGAGCGACUGAGGGUAAGUGAAACUGCUCGCCCCUGAGGGCAGGGCGAGAGGAUGGGUAGCCAUUUUAAGAUUCCUCUUUUAUUUUGCUUCACUUUUGUUUUAAGUUGCCUGUCCCUGGAGAUGAGUGAGACGGAAGAAAAACCGCUCACAUCUGAGGAAAAACUAUUUACGUCUGAGGAACAGAUAGGGAGAAAGGACGGAUGCCCAUGUCAGGAGGAUAGAAAGGCUAUAAUGACUUUUUGUUGUUCCCUUUUUAUUUCAUUCUGUCUCGGUUUUGUUUGGCGUCAUCUUGUUGGGUUGUAUUAUAGUAGAAAUACGGGAUNGGCCGAUUGGCUGGGUCACGUGGGCGGAGCCAAAAAAGUCCCCCAAUGAGCAGCUCCGUGGUCUGAAAGGGCAGGGAAACAGCCCAAUGAGCAUCACCGCAGAGGAGCCAAUCAGCUAGAUGUUGCUGGGGCCGCUGUGAGCCAAUCAUCAGCUGGCAGCUGGAAGUUUGCUGGGGCCCCUUUGGCUGUGGCUCUCAACAAUUGGACAGUUUUAUACUCCUAACAAAUGUGUGACAAUACUAAUUCUCUACACUUUGCCAACAUUUAAUAUUGUCUUUUAGCUCCUCUGCUGAUAUUCAGAAAUGUGUUUGUUUAUUUUUUGAGUACUGAGCAUUGAACCCAGGGUGUUACAUAUACUAGAUAGGUGUUCUAUCACUGAGCCUCAUCCCUAGCCCUUCUUUUUAUUUUAUUUACAUGUACUCACUAAGUUGCUUAGGGUGUCCUUAAACUUUUUUUUUUAAUAAUUGUUUUAGUUGUAGAUGGACACAAUAACUUUAUCUUACUUAUUUUUAUGUGAUGCUGGGGAUUGAACCCUUGCCUCACACAAGCGAGACAAGCUAUUUACCACUGAGCCACCACCCCAGCCUUGUCCUUAAACUUUCUUUCGAUCUUCCUGCCUCUGCCUCCCAAGUAGCUAGGAUCAUAACCAUGAGUCAACAUGUUUGCCAAAACUAUCAUUUCUAAAAUGAAGGCAGUCUUGGGAAAACCAGGAUAGAUUAAUCAUCUAAUUUCAAACUGAUCUGUAGUAUAAAAAUAUAGAAAUAAAAAUAAAGUGAGGGAAAGGAUAGAGACCAACUAGAAUGGUUGGUUUCUAGUCUUAGUUUAUCAUUUUCUAUUACUAAUAACACAAUGGCCACAUGUGGUAAAAACCUUCUUGCUGGCAGAGUUCCAAGACGACAUAGAGCAUAGUAGGUGAAAGGCAGGAGAGAGUAUGUAUUUUGGUCUCUUUCCUCACAAGGUCAUCAGUAUUCGAUAAUGGGUUUCCACUCUAAUGACCUUUUCUAAUCCUAAUUACCCUCCAAAUGCUCUAUCUCUAAACACCAUAGUUAGAUUAUCUAAGUUUCUACCCUCUUAAUAUCUCAGAAUGGAGAUUAAACUCUUUUUUUAUUUUUUAAAUAUUUAUUUUUUUUAAUUGUAGUUGGACACAAUAACCCUAUUUAUUUAUAUGGUGCUGAGGAUCGAACCCAGGGCCUUGCACAUGUAAGGUGAGUACUCUACCACUGAGCCAUAACCCCAGCCCCAGAGAUUAAACUCCUUUUAAAAAAUAUUUAUUUUUUGGUUAUAUGUGGACACAAUAUCUUUAUUUUAUUUUCCUGUGGUGCUGAGGAUUGAACCCAGUGCCUCAGGCAUGCUAGGCUAGCACUCUACCACUGAGCCACAACCCCCAGCCCCAGGGAUUAAACUCUUUUGAAGGGGACAGAUGAUAUUCAAUCCUAUAUCAUAGUAUUAUUUCCUUUUAAGUUCAAAUCUAGUAUCCUAGUAUUUCUUUUUAAGUUGAACCUAGCCUCAUAGUCAACCUAAUUUGGGUUUUACUGUCUUUACUAUAGUACAUGUGAACAUUGUCUAUCUCUUCAUUUAUUUGAGUGUUCUUAAUUUCUGUUAGCCGUGUUUUGUAAUUCUUUUGUUAAAUUUAUAUUCCUGAGAACUUUCUUUUUCAAAUGCUACUCUAAUUUUUUAAUUUUUUUAAGUAUUGGGGAUUGAACCCAGGACCCUGGGUGUGCUAAGCAAGUGCCCUGCCGCUGAACUGCAUUCCCAACCCUCAAAAUUUUAUUUUGAGACAGAGUCUUACUAAGUUGUCCAGACUGGCCUUGAACUUACAAUCCUCCUGCUUCAGCCUUUCAAGUGCUUGGGAUUACAAGGCAUGGGCCACUGUGCCCAGCAUAAAUAUAAUUUUUAAAAUAAACUUUUAAUUUUGGAAUGAGUUUCGAUUUACAGAAAACUUGUAAAGAUAGUACAGAAUUCUUCUAUGCCCAUCAACCAGUUUCCCAUAAUUUUUCCCACAUUUUUAGAAAAUUAGAGUGUGUUACUCAGCUUUCUAUCACUGUGACAAAAUACCUGAGAGUAGCAACUUAAAAGGAGACUAUCUAAUUUUUUUUCUUUUGUUUUGUACUGGGGACUGAACCCAGGAAUGUUUUACCAUUGAGCUACAUCAUGAAUUUCUUUUUAUUUUUUAUUUUGAGACAGGGUCUCAUUAAAUUGCUGAGCUUCUCACUAAGUUGCCUAGGGUGGUCUCAAACUUGUGAUUCUCCUGCCACAACCUCUGGAGUUGCUGGGAUUAUAGGUGAGCAGCAGCACUGGCUAAAGGAGAAUCUCUUUGGGCCUGUGGUGAGGCAGAACAUCAUGGUGGGGAGUGUAUGGUGUAACAAAAGUCAAGAGCUCACGACAGCCAGGAAGCAAAAAGAGGGAGCUCACUUUUUUUUUUUUUUUUUUUAAUGUGGUGCUGGGGAUUGAACCCUGCUUCAUGCAUGCUAGACAAGUGCUCUACCACUGAGCCACAACCCUGGCCCAGGGCUUACUUUUAAAACCAAGUCCCUCCCCCAAGCCCAUUUAGCCAGGAAUCUAUUAAUAAAUGAAUCCAUUCAUGAAGUCAAAGCCUCAUGAUCUAAUCGCUUUAAAAGACUCCACCUCUGAUCUUUGCUAAAAUGGUGACCAACCUUUAAAACAUUUAGAUCCAAACCAUACAUUUAAGAUAUAAUUCACAUAACAUAAAAUUAUUCAUUUCAUGGUUUUUUUGUUCUGUUUUGUUUUGUUUUGGUGCUGGGGUGCUAGAAAUUGAACCCAGUCCUUAUGCAUGCUAAACAUUUAUUCUGAGCCAGGCACAGUGGCACAUGCCUGUAAUAUCAGUGACUCGGGAUGCUGAGACUGCAGAAUCAUAAGUUCAAGGCUAGCCUGGGCAAUUUAGUGACACCUUGCCUGAAAAUAAAAAAUAAAGGCUGGGGAUGUAGCUCAGUGGUAAAGCCACACUGGGUUCAAUUCCCAAUGCUGGGAAAAAAAGAAAAGAAAAGGAAAGAAAAAAAAGACCAAAACAACAAAAAACAUAACAAAACAAAAAAAACUUUCAUUUUUAUGCUGAGUAAUCCAUUGUAUCUGGACAUACCACAUUUUGCUUAUACAUUCUUCAAUAGAUGGUCACUUGGGUUAGGUUAUUUCUGCUUUUCAGACACUAUGAAGGAUGUUGCUAUGAAUAUUUGUAUAUAAGUCUAUGUGUAGACCUAUGGUUUUAUUCUUGGCUGGAUAUUAUUUGAUUUUUUUUUUUUGUGUGUGUGGUGCUGGGGAUUGAACCCAGGGCCUUGUGCACGUGAGGCAAGCACUCUACCAACUGAGCUCUAUCCCCAGCCCUUAUUUGAUUGUUUUAAAAUAAUUUCUGUUUCUAUGAUGAGAUUUCCAAUUUGUUUACUACAAGCAUAUUUCCCCUUCAAUAUAGUUAUAACAUCUACCUCAAAAUCCUUAUAAUUCCAGCAUCUGGAUCAUCUCAGGUCAUCUCAUUGGUUGCAUCUGAUCUCGAACACGAGUCACAUUUUCCUGUGUCUGAGUGGUCUAGUAAUUCUGGAUUAUAUCUCUGAUAUUAUGAUAUGUUGUAGAGAGUCUGGAUUAUUAGAUUCCUCUGUGGAGAUGUUGAUUUUGUUUGUUUAUUUUAUCAGGCAGUUAACUUGGUUAGACUUAAAACUCUGAAUUCUAUCUCCCUUGAAGGGAAAUGACAGCUAAAAUCUCUGUCCAGUUCUUUUAGCUUAAGGUGGGCUGCUUGGGCCCUGUUCAUGGUUCAGCCACAAAGUAAGGCAGAGUUUGUAUGCAGAAUUUGACAUCCCACCUCUAUGGCUUUAUCCUUAUCCCUCUGUACCUUUUCACUUAUAACUGCUCCAAAUACUGCCCUUAAUUUUAUUUAUUUAUUUAUUUAUUUUUAAGUGUUUUGCAGUACUGGGGAUUGAACCCAGGACUCACACAUGCUAGGCAAGGGCUCUACCCCAGAACUACAUCCCCAGCCCUUUCUAAAACUUUAAAAUUUUGGAACAGGAUUCUGCUAAGUUUCCUAGCUUGGCCUUGAAUUUGUGAUUCUCCUUUCUCUGCCUCUCAAAUAUCUAGGAUUACAGGCCUGUGCUACCAUGCCCCCACUGUCCUUAGAUUCUUUUUUUUUUUGAAUUUUUUAAAUAUUUAUCUCUUAGUUUUCGGCGGACACAACAUCUUUGUUUGUAUGUGGUGCUGAGGAUCGAACCCAGGCCGCACGCAUGCCAGGCGAGCGCGCUACCGCUUGAGCCACAUCCCCAGCCCUCCUUAGAUUCUUAAAGUCAGUAAGACUCUGAGUUUCUACCAAAAUUUAGCUUCUUUCCUGACUGCUACUGGCAACUUCCUCCAGGUGAAGAACUACGAAAAAAUGUGAAGCUGGGUUGGGGAUAUAGCUCAGUUGGUAGAGUGCUUGCCUCAGUGCACAAGGCCUUGGGAUCAAUCCUCAGCACCACACACACACGCACACACACAAAAAAUGAAACUUACCUACCAGUACUCCCUUCCAAAACGGGUCUCUCCCUUCCCAUUGCCUCUGAUUUCCAGUGGUUUGGGUUGUUUCCAGGACCUUCAAUAGGUAAUGUGUUUACCAUUUGGUCCAAAGAUUACAGUGAUAUUUACAAAAGGGUUGAUCUAAUAGAAUUUAGCCCACUACUGAAAACAAAAUCCCAUAAAUGAUUUGAUUGAUUGAAUGAGGUACUGGGACAAGUGUUCUUCUACUGAGUUACACCCCCAACCCUUCUUAUUGUUUUUUUGAGACAGGGUCUCGACAAAUUGGUCUCAAACUCAUACUUCUCCUGCCUCAGCCUCCUCAGUUAACUGGAAUUCAAAGCAUGCACCGCUGCUCCUGGCCCAUGAGUGAAUGUUUUUAGUUCCUGUCUUCUCCCCUUUUAAAAUGACAUUCUGGGGGCUAGGGACAUAGCUCAGUUGGUAGAGUGUUUGCCUCGCACGCACAAGGACCUGGGUUGAAUCCCCAGCACCACAAAAAAUAAAAUGCCAUUCUGUUGGUGAGAAAUGUCGAGCCAUAGAGAAACUAAUGGCCAUGACAAGAUUGUUUGGACAAUCACUAGAAACAAAUGCCUCUGUUUUACCUUGUCCUCCUUCUAGACACAUCUUGGCAUCUCUCGAGUCAUUAGGGGCCUGAUUAUCCCUUCUUUCUGUUAGGUGGUAAGGGUACGAGGUGGCUGGUGCUGCUUGAGUUUCUUGACUCCCUCUCCACUUUGGUCCUCCCAGGUUCCCACAAAGGCUCUGGUAUUUCUUGCCAGUCGGUGCUGGCACUCACGCUCCUCAGGAGGUUGUCAGAUUCCCACCGGGCCUUUAGGCCCUCUAAGGCCUGGGAAAUGGCAGAAACAGCUGCUCUGAGCAUACCCCUGCCAUCAUCUCCCCCCUCCUUCCCACCCAGGCUCUUCAGCCAUGUUUUUCUAGUUUUGUUCUGCCAGAUGCUGCCUUUAACCCUCUUCUCCUCAGGGAAGCUGAAGGGCUACAGCAGGAUGUCUUGUGGUCAUGCUGCUGUUCCCAAGAUGGAUGAUUUGUAUGUAGCAUCUGGGUGAUGAGCAAUUGCUCACAUUUUGAUUUAGCAGCUGGUGGUUCCGAGAAGACACUUCUAAUUGCUGCCUUGUAUCCUUGAGGUCCAAUAGGAUGAAAAGAGGCAAUCACUUGAAAAUCAGUGUGGAUUGCGUCCCCCUCCCCCGGUGCCCCAGGUCAUUAGGCCACCAAGUCCCAUAAGGCUUAAUUCCUCUGUAUCUCUCAUGCCCGUCCUAAACCUUUGUCCACCCAAGGUCUCACCAUUUCCUACCUGGAUUGUGGCUCCAUCUUCCUGGUUGUUUUGCUCUCCUGUCUGUCCCCUGCACUCCAUCCACUUCACUCUCCAGCCUGCAGACUCCUGACAUCUAAAACACAGAUCUCAUUCCACUCUUCACUUGCUCAAAUAAGUUAUUCUGUUCCCCUUAGUUUUUUAGGAAAAGUUCAUGGCUCUCUCUGUUUUUUUUUUUUUUCAAUUUUUAAUUUUUGGAAACUUGGUCUGAGACUAAUUUUUUUUUUUUUGGUAGUUAUACACAAUAACUUUGUUUUAUUUAUUUAUUUUUAUGUGGUUGCUGAGGAUCAAACCCAGGCCUUGCAUGUGCAAGGCGAAUGCUCUACCACUAAUAACCCCAGCACCCUGAGACUUAUUUUUGAAACUUGGUCUGCCAGGCUGGCCUCAAAACUCCUGGGCUCAAGCAACCCUCCCCAGCCUCUGGAGUAGCUGGGCCAAUGGCCAUGCACCCAAUUCAAGUCCAGAGCCUUUGACAUGCACCUCAAGGCUCUUUGGAAUCCAGUCCCAGUCUAAGCCUCCCCUUUCUCCCCACAACUGAAAGGCAACUUCCUUCCUGUAUCCAUCAGGGUGCAACAGAGAAACAGGACCAGUAUGAGAGAGAUCACAGGGAACUGACUUUGUGCGAUUGCAGACAAGUCUGAAAUCAAACUCAAGUAGGUGAGGCAUCCUGAAAGGCAGCCUAGAACUGUCAGGCACGGGCUAAAGCUGCCAUUCAUGGGUGGAAUUUCUUCUUUACCUAGAAAUCCUCUAUUCUGUUUUUAAUUUUUUUUUGACUGAUUCCAUCAGAUCCACUUAGAUUAAUCUUCCUUUCUUCCUUCCUUUUUUUUUUUUUUUUUGGUACUGGGGAUUGAAUCCAGGGACACUUAACCACUGAGCCACAUCCCCAGCCCUUUUUUAUAUUUUAUUUAGAGACAGGGUCUCCCUGAGUUGCUUAGGGCCUGACUAAAUUGCUGAGGCUGGCUUUGAACUUCUGAUCCUCCUGCCUCAGCCUCUUGAGCCUCUGGGAUUACAGGUGUAUACCACCAUACCCAGCUUCCUUUCUUUUUUAGUACCAGGGAUUGAACUCAGGGGCACUCAACCACAGAGCCACAUCCCCAGCCCUAUUUUGAAUUUUAUUUAGAGACAGGGUCUCAUUAAGUUGCUUAGCACCUCACCAUUACUGAGGCUGGCUUUGAACUUACAGUCGUCCUGUCUCAGCCUCCCGAGCCGAUGGGAUAACAGGCAUGCGCCACCGUACCUGACUGAAAACUGUAUUUUAAAAGUUUCCAGAAUCACUCUAGGUAGUGAACACUCAGAUUCAAAUUCCUUCUCUGCCAGUUAUAGAUGUGUGACCUUGAGCUAGUAACUUAACUCUUAGGCUCAUUGCCUGCAUAGGUACAACUGAGGAGAGAAUAGCUACUUUUCAGAUUUUUAAAAAAAUUUUUUUAAACUUUAUUAUUUAUUUAUUAUUUGUAUGUGGUGCUGAGGAUCGAACCCAGGGCCCUGCACAUGCGAGGUGAGCGCUCUACCUCUGAACCACAACCCCAGCCCCUUCAGAUUGUUGUGAAGAUCAGUUAUCUAAGUGCUCAGCCAGUGCCUGGUAUAGUCAACUUCAGAAUAUGGCAGUUUCUAAUAUGAAGGGAAAAGAAAAGAGGUAUAUGGAUUCUUAUUCUCCAGACAGCCUGUCUUCCCUGGGGCUAUGCUAAUUCUUACUAGCCUGGCAUAUUCUCCUGUCCUAGAUGGGUCUAUCCAUUUAUAUCAUCCUUCCUGCUAUCUUGCAUUCUUCCUAAUAUAUUGUAGACUCCUUGGUGCUGGCCAGGUCCACAGCCCAUUGCUGUGCUGUGUGUAGUGCUAUAGAAGGAGGUCUGCCCUGCCCUGAGUUUGGAACCAGCCCUGCUGCUCAGUCUCUGGGAGCCCCCUGGCCCAUCCUCUCACUUCUCUUGGGCUCUGGCUAUUCAGCUGUGCAUAGCUCCUCCCUCACUUUGGCUCUGUUGACUGCUGAGGUUUCCUGGCUUGGCACUGGCUUCCCCUUACCUGUGUCAGGAGGCCCAGGUAAGAGCACACAAAAGCUUGCAUUGAAGUUACUUGGGAUAUUUUCCACAGACAGUGUGUUUGGGCCUUUCCCCUAGUCCUGCACAUGCAUCUGGGUUCUCUAGUGCCAUUUCCCUUCAUGGGGCAUUGUUAAAGAAGCUGCACCUGCGGGGCCUCCCUUGCUCACACACUCACCUAUCAGGUAUACAAGGAGCAUUUACUGUGUGCUCAGGCCUGGGAUGGUCAGUUGACACCAAGGGUCAAAAGGCUCAAACCCUGGGGCUGGGGUUGUGGCUCAGUGGUAGAGUGCUUGCCUUCAUGUGUGAGGCACUGGGUUCCAUCCUUAGCGCCACAUAAAAAUGAAUGAAAUAAAAUAAAGACAUUGUGUCCAUCUACAAUUUAAAUAAAUAAAUAAGUAAAAUAAAAGCAUCGUGUCCAUCUAUAACAGCAACAACAACGAAAUAUUUUAAAAAAAAAAGUCUCAAACUCUGAUCCUAAGCAGCUCACAGACUAGGGGCCAGAUGGAGGAAUAAGGGAUAUGUAGUCUUUGGGAGCAAUAGAAGAACUACUGACCGAGGGUCCAUCGUGUGCAUGCGUGUGUGUGUGUGUGUGUGUGUGUUUUGAAGGAAAGCUUCCUGGACAAGUGAUGCCUAAGAUGUGAAGGAUGAGGCAAUGUUAAUUUUAAGUAGAGGGGGAGGGCAUGUAUUCCAGUUGAGUACAGUCAGAGCAUGAAGUGGGAGGUUGUUUUUGUUUUUGUUUGGUAGCAGGGAUUGAACCCAGGGGCACUUAACCACUGAGCCACAUCCCCAGCCCUUUUUGGUAUUUUAUUUAGAGACAAGGUUGCGCUGAAUUGAUUAGGGCCUAAGUUGCUGAGGCUGGCUUUGAACUCGAAAUCCUCCUUUCUCCGCCUCCCAAGCUGUGGGAUUACAGGCAUGUGCCACCAUGCCCUGAGAAGUGGGAGGUUGGACAGUGGCAAAAGGGGCCUGGAGAAGGGCUGGCUUGUGACAGGCCUUGAUUGCUGGACUGAAGGGUGUGGAUUUGACUUUGAGGCCCCAGGAAAGUAUUAAACAGUACAGUGUGUGUGUGAUCACAUUUAUAACCUGAUUAUAAUAUAUAGGUUUAUAUGUUAUAUGUGAUAGUUACUUCCCUGCCUCAUGGGUGCAUUAUCUUCCACUGAGAGUGUCACCUGCACCAAUGGCACCUUUGUGAGGUUAUGUAAGUCCCAAGGGAGCUAUUGGAGUUUAUGCCAUUAGUGCUUGUUAAGUAGCAGAUCUGUUAUCUGAGUAAGGGCAUAAAAACAGAUCAUAGGCCAUGCAGGACAAGAUCUAAUCUUCUGUUACUAAUCUCAUCCAGGCCUCUUGGGUCUUCCUGGGCCUUCAUCUGUUGAUAAGCAUUCCAUCUGUCCUUUCUACUUCCUAGAGUUGGCAUCAAGUUCAAGUGAGAUAUCAUCUGUGAAAACACUUUGAAAAGUGUACAGUGUAGCUGGGUGCAGUGGCGUACACCUGUAACUCCAGGGACUCCAGAGUCUGAGGCUACAGGGUCACAAGUUUGAAGCCAGCCUCAGCAACUUAUCAAAACCCUAAGCAAUUCAAUGAGACCCUGUCUCAAAAUAAAAAGUAAAAAAAGGACUGGGGUUGUGGCUCAGUGGUAGAGUGCUUACCUUGCACCCAUGAGGCACUGGGUUUGAUCUCAGCACCACAUAAAUAUAAUGAAUGAAAUAAAGGUAUUGUGUCCAUUUACUACUAAAAAAAAAAAAAGUUUUAAAAAAGACUGGUGAUGUGGCUUUUCGUUAAUGCACCCCUAGUUUCAAUCCUCAAUGGCAGAAAAGGAAAAAAGAAAAAAAGUAUCUGAUGCAAAUACUAGGAUAUCUUUCCAUUUUUGGUGUCACCUUUGAUUUGUUUUAUAGUUUUCAGUGUACAAGUUUUUCACCUCUUAGUUUAAUGUAUUUGAAGUUUUAUUUUUUUGUUUCUGGGGUUUUUUGUUUGUUUUUCCUUUUUGGUACUGUGGGUUGAACCCAGGGGGCUUUACCACUGAGCUGUGUUCCCAGUCCUUUUUUUCUUUUUGAGAUAGGGUCUAGUUAAGUUGCUGAAGCUGACCUCAGACUUGGAAUCCUCCUGCCUUAGACUUCUCUGAGUCAUGGGGAUUAUAGGCAUGUGCCACUGUGCCUGACUAUUAUUCUUUUUAAUGCUGUUAUCAAUGAGGUUGUUUUUGUUUGUUUGUUUGUUUUUUGGUAUUGGGGAUUGAACUCCAGGGCACUGCGCUACAUCCCCAGCCCUAUUUUGUAUUUUUAUUUAGAGACAGGGUCUCACUGAGUUGCUUAGCGCCUCCCAUUGCUGAGGCUGGCUUUGAACAUGCGAUCCUACCGUCUCAGCCUCCUGAGCUGCUGGGAUUACAGGAGUGCACCACCACACAGGGCCCUAUUUUGUAUUUUAUUUAGAGACAGGGUCUCAGUUGAUUACCACCUCACUUUUGCUGAGGCUGGCUUUGAAUUCACGAUCCUCCUCCUUCAGCCUCCCAAACUGCUGGGAUUACAGGCAUGUGCCACCAUACCCUGCAAUUGGGUUAUUUUUUACAUUCCCUUUUUGGAUAGUUCAUUAUUUAGUGAAUAAUAACACAACUGAUUUUUUUGCAUGUUGAUUGUACAUCUUGCAACUUUACUGGAUUCAUUUAUUCCAACAUCUAAAAUCAAAAAAGAAAAAAUAUAUACAAUGCAAAUGCUGAGAUACCUUUCCAGGUGUAUCUUGUUUUAUUUGUGGGAUCUUGAGGAUUUUCUUUAUAUAAGAUCAUGUCAUCUGCAAGCACAGAUGACUUUGCCUCUUUUCAGAUUUCUAUGCCUUUUAUUUUUUCCUUGCCUAAUUGUUCUGUCUAGAACAACCACACAAAAAAAAUUAUAAAUAUAUGUGGGAAGGAAGUGAAAACACAAAUAUUAAUUGUGGUUAUUUUAUCUCUGGUGUGGAUUAUGCCCUUGGGGAAUAUGCUCAUGUGUGUUCACAUUUGUAAAGUUUUUAUGUAUAUUUUUAAUUUUUUGUUUGUUUGCUUUGUAAUACUGGGAAUUGAACUCAGAGGCACUCUACCGCCAAGCCACAUCCCUAGCCACUUUUAAACUUUAAAAAAAAAUGGUGGGGGGAUUGAACUUGGGCACUCAACCACCAAGCCAUAUCUCCAGUUCUAUUUUGUAUUUUAUUUAGAGACAGGGUCUCACUGAGUUGCUUAGUGCCUCACUUUUGCUGAGGCUGUCUUUGAAUUUGAGAUCCUCCUGCCUCAGCCUCCUGAGCCACUGGAAUUACAGGCAUGCACCACUGCAUCUGGCAAACUUUUUUAAAUUUUGAGGGAGGUCUAAGUUGCCCAGGCUAGACUUGAACUUGAUCGUUCUCUUGCUUCAGCCUCUCAAACCCCUGGAAUUACAGGCAUGCACCACUGCACCAGACCCUUAUGUUUUUAUAUUUAAAAAUAUGUUACUCUUAGCUGUAUGCAAUGACACACACUGUAAUCCCAGCAGUUUGGGUGGAGUGCCCCUGGGUUCAAUCCCCAGUACUAUCAAAAAAAUUUUUUAAAAAGGUAUGUUUUACUUUUUUUUUUUUUUUUGGAUACCCAAGGGCACUCUACCACUGAGCAAAAUCUCCAGCCCUGUAUUCCUCUUUUAAUAUUUUAAUUUACUAUAAUGCUUGGGAAGCACAUUCACAUGGUACAGAAGGGUAUACAGUGAGAGUCUCUCUUUCUCCUGCCCCCAGAUACCUACUGCCCUUCUCCAGAAAUAGCUGCAGUGACAGUUCCCUAAUCCUUCCAGAGAUAAUGUAUCCAUCUACAAGCACUACAGAUAGAUAUAUCUGCCCCAUUUUUUGCAUAGAUUUUAGUAUAUUACAUGUAUUAUUUUUUUCUUGGAAACAAAAGUUUUCUAAAUAAGGUCAUUAAGUAAUAAACAUAAGCCAGGCGUAGUAGCGCAAGUCUGUAAUCCCAGUGGCUCAGGAGCUGAGACAGGAGGAUCGCAAGUUCAAAGCCAGCCUGAGCAAUGGAGAAGUGCUGAGCAACUCAGUGAGACCCUCUCUCUAAUAAAAUACAAAAUAGGGCUGGGGAUUGAGUGCUGGCUCAGAGAUUGAGUGCUCCUGAGUUUAAUCCCCAGUACCAAAACAAACAAAAAUAAACAUAAAUGCAUAAAAAUUAACAUCAUUGUGCUAAGUGUGCAUUAACACUAGCUCUGUGGAAUGUAAAUAGGUUUUAUGUGGAGGAGAGUUUCCUAGUUGAGUGAGCUAAGUGGAAACCACAUGCAAAUAAGUUUGGUUAAUGCAAAGGCUUCAGGGGACUUUGACAUGCUGAUUGUUUAUAUCAGAGGGCUGCUGUCUCAGCCCCUUGAAUGGGGGUUGAUAAAGGACAAGCAAAAAUUGCCACCCCCAAUCCCUGGAAGUGUGUGUGUGCUGGGCUGAGGAUGGAACAGGGCUGUGGAAGGAGGGCUGGACACAGAGUCUGACAACCAUAACUGUGUGACUUAGGGCAGAGUUGGCCUCCCCUGGCAAAUGAUAGUUACCAUGUGUGCCCUGCUCAGAGGCUGAUGUGUUACUGGGUUAUAGAAAUACCUAUUUGCAGAUGUUAUUCUCCCCACCCUCGUUCCACAAUGGAGAUUUCAAGUAGGGGCAGAGUUUGGGUGUCCUGUAGGUUCCCAGGUCUCAUAGAUCACAGGGCUUUUUUGUUUUUGUGUUUUAUGUGCUGGGGAUUGAACCCAGGGGCACUUAACCACUGAGCCACAUCCCCAGCCCUUUUUUGUAUUUUAGUUUUAAGAGACAGGGUCUUGUUGAGUUGCUUAGGACCUCACUAAGUUGCUGAGGCUGUCUUUGAACUUGCGAUCCCCCUGCCUCAGCAUCCCAAGCUGCUGGGAUUAUAGAUGUUCACCAGCUGAUCACAGGACUUUCAAAGGGAUCCUGGAAGUUCAGUGAAAUUUUGUGCUGGUAGAGAAAGUCAGACUUUUGAGCCUUUACAAUGCAGAAGGGUCUUUAGCUUAGCCAGCCUCUUACAGACAGGAAACAAACUGCUUGCCAAAAUCACUUGCAAUAUUGAGCUCAUUCUGUGAUAACUGACUUUUUUUUUUUUUAACUCAUCCAUUGGAAAAAUUUUGCAAAAGUUUCUUUUCUUGUUGAUGCAAGGCACCUCUCUAUGGCUCUGUACCAUUUUUUUAAAGCAGUUAUUUAAGGCUCAGGAGGCCCCUUGUGAAAUUCUUUUUGAAACAAAACAACCUUUGACUCACCUCAUCUAUAACCAUCAAUAGUGACUGUAUUCAUUCCAUGGAAGGGAGGAGGCAGGGUCUGGCAACAGAUUUUUCCAUGGCUAACUGGUCUUAUAUAGUGGUAAUUAGUUAUAAAUUGUGUGUAUGUGUGUGUGUGUGUGUCCGUCCCGCACACACAAAUACACAGCACUGGGGGUUGAACCCAAGGGUGCUUUACUACUGAGUUACAUCCUCAAACCUUUUAUUUAUAUUUUUUGAGAACUGGGGAUUGAACUCGGGCACUCAACCACUGAGCCCUAUUUUGUAUUUUAUUUAGAGACAGGGUCUAACUGAAUUGCUUAGCGCCUCGCUUUUGCUGAGGCUGGCUUUGAACUCACCAUCCUCCUGCCUCAGCCUCAUAAACCGCUGGGAUUACAGCCAUGGGCCACUGGCUCAGAUUAUCCAUUUCUUAAAAAAGAAAUACUGUUGGGAUUUUUAUUAGGAUUGUGUUAAAUCUGUAAGUCAAUUUGGGGAGAGUUCAUGUCUUAACAAUAUUGAGUCUUUUAUGGAGGUGACCUGUCGCUCUGUUAAACCUUCCUUGUUUCUGAUAUGUUACAAAUGUAAAUUUUGACCUUUGACUUUUGGAGUCUUUGAACACCUUCUGUGAAACUUACUCCGUUUCCAGUACCAAGGAAUGGCAGUGCAGGUGCAUGAGGAAGCAGAGAAAAUGGAAACUCCAGAAGACCCAUUUCAGUUCUCCAGAAACACAGGGGCACAGGAGGAUCAAAAAGGAACAAAUCCCUAGGCAGAAUUAGAAAAUCCCUGUCAACUGAGGAGGGGGAAAUAUUUUGAAAGGCAACACAAGAUGACUCCAGAGUAAGUUUAAAAAACAUCAGCAGACAUGUGCUAUUGUGGUGGCUUGGGUUAUUGGGGUAUUUGUUUUCUUGGGCUGGAGGUGUGGGUUUGGGGAUUAACAGGUAGAUAUGUUUUCAAGUCUUCUCCUGUUACACGCUGUCUAGAAUCAAUCAAGCCUUUCCUUUCAUUGUAGAACAUGCUGGGGGGCUGGGGAUAUAGCUCAGUUGGUAGAGUAGUUGCCUCACAUGCUCAAGGCCUGGGUUCAAUCCCCAGCAACACACACACACACACACACACACAGAAUCAUCAUGCUGGGGGGCUGGGGCUGGUGCUCAGUGGUAGUUCUGGUCUAGCAUGUGUGAGGCACUGGAUUCUAUCCUCAGCACCUCAUAAAAAUAAAAUAAAGAUAUUGUAUCUACAGCUAAAUAUAUAUAUAUAUUUUAAAAGUUAUUAAAAAAAAUAAGCAUGCACCAGGUGCGGUGGCACAUGCUUAUAAUCCCAGCAGCUGGGGAGGCUGAGACAGGAGGAUUGCAAGUUCAAAGCCAGCCUCAGAAACAGUGAGGCCCUAAGCAGCUCAGUGAGACCCUGUCUCUAAAUAAAAUACAAAAUAGGGCUGGGGAUGUGACUCAGUGGCUGAGUGCCCCUGAGUUCAAUACACAGCACUGCCCCCUCCCCACCCCCACCCCCCAAAAAAAAAACAUGCAGGUAGACACAGGCAAGGGUACUGAGUCUCAUUGCCCUGUGGAUAUAGUCAAGGAUUUGCUGCCCUGGGAAACAUACCUGUCAUUUUUAUUCUUAUUUUUCUUUCAGGACAGAGCUCAUAGAGCCUGACCCUUAGUUCUGCUUAUUCAUCACAGCUAGAAGGGGCAACUCUGGAGGACCUCAGUCAGGUCAGGCCCAGGCCAGUCCCAUUGUUGCCCACCACCUAAGCCCAAGUGGCCUGCAAGGAAUCCUUGUACCUGCCUUUCUGGGCUAUUCAUGCCAUUGCUUGUACCUAUGAUGCCACUGGUCAGUCAGAUAUUUAAGAAGGGGAAGGGGGAAUUUCAGAACAGUACUCAAUAUACGUUGGUGGUCAAGAGCACCAGCUCUGGAACUAGCCUGCCUGACUUCGAGUCCCACCACAACUACUGUUAGUUUUGUGUGUGUGUGUGUGUGUGUGUGUGUGUUGCUGGGGAUUGAACCCAAGGUCGUGUGCAUGCAAGGCAAGCAACUACUGACUGUGAGACAGUGGGCAAGUUUGAAACUCCCUAUGCCUCCGCUUCUCCUUCUGUAAAAUGGAGGCAGUAAGACUAUCCAUCUCAUGGAGUUGUUCUGAGCAUUAAAUGAAACAGUACACGUCUGGCAUUUAAGAGAGUGCCCAGCACCAGUGAGCUGUGGGUGAUGUUAGCAGUUAAUUAUUAUUGUGGACCUCACUCGUCCAAGGCAUGGGAUCCAAAUGUAGCCUCUGAUGCUGUUUGGGAGGUCUCAUUCUAUCCUUCUGGAGUAUGGCCUUUCACUAUCUUGAUUUCAUGUGCUAAAAAAUCACCAGCUUUUUAGGCACAGAUGCAACUUUCUUCCUUAUUAGAAUUAUAGAUAUGUGGCCCUGGCUUUGCUUUCUCAGAUUCAACGAGGAAUUAUUGGCCCUGUGAGUCCAUGGGUUUUGGAUUCCAAUCCUAAAUUCUCCCCCAGCUGGCCACUGGACUUUAGCUUCAGUGUGGAGUUAGAUAUGUUCCAACUGAUUCUGUUAGGCCAGAAAUUCCUGACCUCUUCCUAUUGUGUGAUUUUUUAAAUCACUGUUUCCUAAAAAUAUGGAAUGAUCCAUAUGAUUUUCAACUUAGAGUGAAUAAAAAGUAUAUCUUGAAAAAUGGAAAAUUGUGUGGUUUCUGCCCACUAUCCAUUCAAGAGAUGCACUUUCAGUCUCUGGGGUCUGUGGAAGGAGCUUUCAACCAGAGAAGAUUCAUCUUUGGAUCAUGCUGCAGGCCCAGGGAGCCCAGGCCACUCUGCCUUCCUUCUGUUCUGAAAGGCCUCUCUCAGCCCAGAACAGCAGCUAGUGAGGGUGCAAACUUCCAGGAUGAGGCGUGUUCCUCAAAUACUUACCAUGAUUGUUUUUUCAUCACUGCCUCAGCUUUUGAUUCCUGUUGGAAUACAGUUUGAAAAUUACCUGCAAAAAGCAGUUUUGUUGUCUUUCUUUCUCUGAUUCCUUUGUCUCAGCAUUUGGCAGGAUCCUUUUAAACUUUCUCUCAUCUGACGCUCCAUGACCUUAAGGAUAUGGCAUGCUCUUUGGUAAAUUCAGGUCACAUUCCAUAGCCAGAGUCUGGAUAGUAGUAGAAUUUCCUUAUGGGACUUUAUCAGAAAGUCCAAUGCUGUUUUUUGUUUUUUUUUUUAAACUGACCUUAAUUAUCUAUCUCUGCAAAUGCUCAUAGUUAAUAUAGUUGCAGGCUGAAAGCUUUGGUAAUAAGGACUUCCUUCUCUCUCCCUUUUUAGUGUUUUAUUUUUAUUUUUAAAAAAUAUUCCACACAGUUUUUUACAAAGGUGAACUCUGAUCUUUGUGGUGGGCUUAUCAGUAGGACUUCUGGUGGUGAGCACGAACCAGGACCUCCAAACUUUGGACUCACAGCCACUGGGGUCACCGACCAACAGGGUCCCAUCAUACUGGAUGAGGAUGUCUUUGUUCUCCUUCUUGGAAGCCUCAUCUACAUAUUUCUGGUAAUAGGCCACUAGGACUUUGGAAAUUGGCGGAUAGCAUAAAUCUGAGCCACAUGAUCACCACCCUUCACACGGACCCGGAUGUCCACGCCAGCAAACCGCUCCUUGCCCAGAGCAGAACGGGUUCCAAUAACUUGUAUUGCAGCGUGCGCGGCUGGAUCAUCACCAGCCAACGCCCAUUCACCUUGAUCAGGUCGUUGCCCCGUUUGCAGUGUGCCACAGAGGUGGCCCGUCUUCUUGAAUCCGAAGACUUGUACAGACUGAAAUGGACCCUUGGCCGGCAUGACUAUAGGGAGCAGUCCUCUCCACGUGGUGCUGCAACCCGAAAGGGUUGUUUUUUGUUUGUUUUUAAUAUAUUUUUUUAGUUGUAGAUGGACACAAUAUCUUUGUGGUGCUGGGGAUCGAACCCAGUGCCUCAUGCAUGCUAGGCAAGCGCUCUACUACUGAGCCACAAUCCCGGCCCCGCCUUUUUAGUGUUUUAAGUGACUCAGAGUACUAGAGAGGUUGGUGGUGACUUGAUGUUUAAAAAUUCAGAAAAGUCAAAGGCCUCCUUCUUAGAAGGCCGGCUGGUUCUCAUUCUUAGGGCACUCUGCGAAGUCAGUGCCUUCUAUUGCCGUCCAUAUACCCUUUCAUCCCAUGCGAUGGAUUUGGGCAGUAUUUCCCAAAGUUUGGCAUAGAUAUCAUUGUGGUGGAGCACGAUCUGAUUUAGACAUUUAAAUACACUAAGCAAUAUCUCCUAUAAUAGCAAAGGGGUACUGCCUUUCUACUUAAAGUGAGUACAUAAGGUUUCUUUUUAAAUGAUUUUAGUAAAACUGAUUUAAAAACAAAUAUUACAUAUGUGGAUAGGUCCCAAGACCCAAGCCUGAUCUAAAUGAUCGAGCUUUGGGAAAUAGAGUAUAUAAGACACUAACUUUUCAAUUUCCUUAAACUAUAAGGAAGCCUCUGAUGGAUUUUGUGUUGUGAAAGUUUCUGUGAAGUUCAUACUGUGGGACACACUUAUUUUAAAGAUGACACUUUGUCAGUAACUGAGAAUCUCAUGAAAUCUUUUAUUUUCAUGACAUCUUAAUUGUACUCAGACUUUGUGUGUAGUUUUGUUGGGCCAUUUGGAUUGUAGGGACAUUGUGGAGGGCUGUGGCUACAAGGAGAAUAUCACUCUGAACACAGCCUCAGUUACACAGGGUGGCAGGGGAGAAAAUGAAGGGAAAGCAGUGAAAUAGGCCUCCAUAUAAAGUCAGACACAGCUCCGUACUUGAAAAACGAGACAUUCUAGAAACAUUCCAUAAAGCUUAAUGCUCCAUGAGUAAACUUAGUCAUGGGUGUCUUACUUUAUAAUUGUAGGCUGAUUGUGGUGAUAAAAAGUCAUUUUUAGCUGAGUGUGGUGGUGCACACCUAUAAUCCUAGACACUUGGGGAGCUAAGGCAGGAGGAUUCCAAGUUCAAGGUCAGCCGCUGCAAUUUAGCAAGACCCUGCCUCAAAAUAAAAAGGACUGGGGAUAUAGAUGAGUGGUAAAGCACCCCUGGGUUUAAUCCCCAGGACUGGGGAGGUGGGGGAGCCAUUUUAAAUAGGUUGUUUUUAGUAUUCAUUUAUUUCUCUGGAAUGAGCAGAUUAGUCUUUCAUCACUGAAGAGAAACCAGCUGUUAGUUUUACUGGAAUUCCCCUGUAUGUGAUUAAUUUUUCUCUUUUUAUUUUCAAGAUUUUCUUUCAUCGCUUUUACUCAGAUGUGUGUAGCAUUAGCAGAUGUAGAAGGAUGGUGGGUUUUAGACCAGCCUGGGCCACUUAGUGAGACCCCAUCUCUGUCUUCAUAUCUUCUUUUCCUUCCUUUUACUCUUUGAACAUGUUAUGGCUCCUUGGCAGUCUUCAAACCUGACCUCUCAUCCCUCACAGGCAGUUUCUGUUGCUUGCUGUUUUUUUCUGCAUAUGGGCCACAUGUUCCUGGUUCUUUGCAUGUCUUGUGAUAUUUUUCUUGAAAACUGAACAUUUUAGGUAAUUGUUUUGUAGGUACUGUGGAUACUGAUUCCUCUCCCCCCCCCCUUUUUUUUUUUUUUGCUUGCUUUUGUGACUUGGCCAGGAUGUNCUUAUGGGACUUUAUCAGAAAGUCCAAUGCUGUUUUUUGUUUUUUUUUUUAAACUGACCUUAAUUAUCUAUCUCUGCAAAUGCUCAUAGUUAAUAUAGUUGCAGGCUGAAAGCUUUGGUAAUAAGGACUUCCUUCUCUCUCCCUUUUUAGUGUUUUAUUUUUAUUUUUAAAAAAUAUUCCACACAGUUUUUUACAAAGGUGAACUCUGAUCUUUGUGGUGGGCUUAUCAGUAGGACUUCUGGUGGUGAGCACGAACCAGGACCUCCAAACUUUGGACUCACAGCCACUGGGGUCACCGACCAACAGGGUCCCAUCAUACUGGAUGAGGAUGUCUUUGUUCUCCUUCUUGGAAGCCUCAUCUACAUAUUUCUGGUAAUAGGCCACUAGGACUUUGGAAAUUGGCGGAUAGCAUAAAUCUGAGCCACAUGAUCACCACCCUUCACACGGACCCGGAUGUCCACGCCAGCAAACCACUCCUUGCCCAGAGCAGAACGGGUUCCAAUAACUUGUAUUGCAGCGUGCGCGGCUGGAUCAUCACCAGCCAACGCCCAUUCACCUUGAUCAGGUCGUUGCCCCGUUUGCAAUGUGCCACAGAGGUGGCCCGUCUUCUUGAAUCCGAAGACUUGUACAGACUGAAAUGGACCCUUGGCCGGCAUGACUAUAGGGAGCAGUCCUCUCCACGUGGUGCUGCAACCCGAAAGGGUUGUUUUUUGUUUGUUUUUAAUAUAUUUUUUUAGUUGUAGAUGGACACAAUAUCUUUGUGGUGCUGGGGAUCGAACCCAGUGCCUCAUGCAUGCUAGGCAAGCGCUCUACUACUGAGCCACAAUCCCGGCCCCGCCUUUUUAGUGUUUUAAGUGACUCAGAGUACUAGAGAGGUUGGUGGUGACUUGAUGUUUAAAAAUUCAGAAAAGUCAAAGGCCUCCUUCUUAGAAGGCCGGCUGGUUCUCAUUCUUAGGGCACUCUGCGAAGUCAGUGCCUUCUAUUGCCGUCCAUAUACCCUUUCAUCCCAUGCGAUGGAUUUGGGCAGUAUUUCCCAAAGUUUGGCAUAGAUAUCAUUGUGGUGGAGCACGAUCUGAUUUAGACAUUUAAAUACACUAAGCAAUAUCUCCUAUAAUAGCAAAGGGGUACUGCCUUUCUACUUAAAGUGAGUACAUAAGGUUUCUUUUUAAAUGAUUUUAGUAAAACUGAUUUAAAAACAAAUAUUACAUAUGUGGAUAGGUCCCAAGACCCAAGCCUGAUCUAAAUGAUCGAGCUUUGGGAAAUAGAGUAUAUAAGACACUAACUUUUCAAUUUCCUUAAACUAUAAGGAAGCCUCUGAUGGAUUUUGUGUUGUGAAAGUUUCUGUGAAGUUCAUACUGUGGGACACACUUAUUUUAAAGAUGACACUUUGUCAGUAACUGAGAAUCUCAUGAAAUCUUUUAUUUUCAUGACAUCUUAAUUGUACUCAGACUUUGUGUGUAGUUUUGUUGGGCCAUUUGGAUUGUAGGGACAUUGUGGAGGGCUGUGGCUACAAGGAGAAUAUCACUCUGAACACAGCCUCAGUUACACAGGGUGGCAGGGGAGAAAAUGAAGGGAAAGCAGUGAAAUAGGCCUCCAUAUAAAGUCAGACACAGCUCCGUACUUGAAAAACGAGACAUUCUAGAAACAUUCCAUAAAGCUUAAUGCUCCAUGAGUAAACUUAGUCAUGGGUGUCUUACUUUAUAAUUGUAGGCUGAUUGUGGUGAUAAAAAGUCAUUUUUAGCUGAGUGUGGUGGUGCACACCUAUAAUCCUAGACACUUGGGGAGCUAAGGCAGGAGGAUUCCAAGUUCAAGGUCAGCCGCUGCAAUUUAGCAAGACCCUGCCUCAAAAUAAAAAGGACUGGGGAUAUAGAUGAGUGGUAAAGCACCCCUGGGUUUAAUCCCCAGGACUGGGGAGGUGGGGGAGCCAUUUUAAAUAGGUUGUUUUUAGUAUUCAUUUAUUUCUCUGGAAUGAGCAGAUUAGUCUUUCAUCACUGAAGAGAAACCAGCUGUUAGUUUUACUGGAAUUCCCCUGUAUGUGAUUAAUUUUUCUCUUUUUAUUUUCAAGAUUUUCUUUCAUCGCUUUUACUCAGAUGUGUGUAGCAUUAGCAGAUGUAGAAGGAUGGUGGGUUUUAGACCAGCCUGGGCCACUUAGUGAGACCCCAUCUCUGUCUUCAUAUCUUCUUUUCCUUCCUUUUACUCUUUGAACAUGUUAUGGCUCCUUGGCAGUCUUCAAACCUGACCUCUCAUCCCUCACAGGCAGUUUCUGUUGCUUGCUGUUUUUUUCUGCAUAUGGGCCACAUGUUCCUGGUUCUUUGCAUGUCUUGUGAUAUUUUUCUUGAAAACUGAACAUUUUAGGUAAUUGUUUUGUAGGUACUGUGGAUACUGAUUCCUCUCCCCCCCCCCUUUUUUUUUUUUUUGCUUGCUUUUGUGACUUGGCCAGGAUGUUCUAGUGACAUCCACUUCCCCUACACGUGAAGCCUUGGGCGAGGCUCUCUCAGAGGGCACAGCCUUGGAUAUACUGCCAUCACUCUGGGAUGACACAGUAAACGUUUAGCAGGGCUCUCUUUACCUCUUUCCCAUACCUCUGUUAAGAUGGCUACUUCAUUUGGUAAUACACCACAUACAUUAGGUUGGCUAAUUAUCAGCUGAUUGCUCUGUUGUUUUUAACAAAACCCUGGUGGCAAAAUUGCUGAAUCUGAUUCCAAUUAAAAUUUUUUGGGGGAGUGGGUACUGGGGAUUGAUUGCUGAUGUGCUUAACCACUAAGCACUUGCCCAGCCCUUUUUGAGACAGGGUCUCGAUGAGUUGUUUAGGGCCUUGCUAAAUGCUGAGGUUGACUUUGAAUUGGCAAUCCUCCUGCCUCAGCCAACCAAGUUGCUGGGAUUGUAAGCAUGUAACUGACCAUGGUUGGUCAUUAUUAUUAGCAUGAUUAAUUUACCAGUUUAUGUCGUAUGGUUGUGCCAGACAGAUGAUGGUUACUUGAACAAACAAGGUGAGGAGUCAUUCCACACUACAUUCAAAAUGGAGUAGCUUAUGGCAAAGUACUGCUUUACAAAAUGAAAAGUUAACACAGGUUUAGGCACAGCCUGAAAACUGCUGUUCUCUACCUUAUGGAGUAACUCAGAGCAGAGCACAACCUGCUCUCCAUAUCUAUCUGGAGUGUCUUAUGUCAAGCUGAGCUGGAGCUGGGGUCCCUGUGUGGCAGAAAGUGGGUCUUAGCUCAGUUAUUAGAGACUUGCUAUUCUUGGCAAAUUUUAGUAGAUUUGCUUGAAUAUUUGUUAUAUGCCCUUAGAACAGUUCCAGAGACUUUGUUUUGUUCUGUUUUUUCCCUGAGAUAGGCACUUGGUAUGUUGCCUGGGCUAGUCUCAAACUCUUAGGCUCAAAUGCUCCUCCCACCUUGACCCCCCUGGUAGCUGGGACUACAGGUGCACACUACUGCAUCAAGCUUCCAGAGACUUUAAAGUCAUUGUUUUAUUUUUUUUAUUUUAAUUUUUGAGGUACUGGAGAUUGAACCCAGGGCCUCACACAUGGUAGACAAGCACUGUACCACUGAGCUACACCCUCAGUCCUAAGUCAUGGUUUUAUAUAAUUUUUGCCAGCUUCAUUUUGCUGAGGAGUGGAAUUCAUGGAGUUUUUCACAUUGACAUCCUGAGGAGUUUCCAGAUUCAUUAUUAUAUAACUAUAUCACCUGAGGUGACACCAUGAAAAGCAAUGGAAAAAGCUCUCAUACAAGUGGCUAAAUGAGAGGCAGUCGGGGAAAAGGGACAGGGUGGACGAGCUCUAGGACCAUCAUGCAUAACUUGUUAUCUGCGAAAACCUUUCCCUACCCUUCCCCGUACUGUUGAACAGUGUAUGAAAUGUGCCUUUUUCUCCACCCUCCUAUUAAAAAAAAUUUUUUUUUAGUUGUUAAUGGACCUUUAUUUUAUUUCUAUGUGGUGCGAAGAAUGGAACCCAGUGCCUCACACAUGCUAGGCAAGUGCUCUACCACUGAGACACAACCCCAGCCCCUAGCCCCCAUCCCUCCUAUUAUUAAUAUAGAGAGCAGGUGCAGGAUGACACCAUGCUGUCUCCAAGGAUCUUCUACAAAAAGAAAUUCCUAAAACAAAAUCACCAUACUCAUGAUCAGUGGAAAAAUAGCAGACUCUAGUGCGCAUGCCAACUGCUUCCCUUCUCUGUUUGGGGGAUCCACCAUCAGGAGUAUUCCCCUUUUCCCCCAUCUGAACCCCUUCCCCCUUUUUCUUUUCCCAAUUAAAGCCUUGUCUGUGCGUUCAGUACUUUCUGACCCAAUUUCAUUUCUAUUGUCAAAGGUUCCUGUCCCCGUUACCAGGUGCUCCAUAGGCAUGGGACUGACAAGCAUCAAUUUUCGAUUUUCACUUUGUAUGCACAGGACAAAGGCAGUGUCUCUCCCUCCUCUCCCCAAAGGAGGGGGGAAAACCUUUGUUGCUUGGAGACAGGAUGGAAAGGAUCUGGAGCCUCUCUACCCUUUUGGAAUGUAAAUACAUCUUUCCAGAGGUCAGAUAAGCCCUUGUGGCUCCUGCUUUAUGACUAGAAAUGUCUUGGGCUUCAUGGUCCUUUAAAAUAUAUACCCAUCCCCUGGAGCUGGGCAAAUCUGUCUGGAGUUUCCCAUCUAUAGAGUUGUAGCUUAAUUUUCCAAGACUUGCCCGGGAUCCUAAGUUUUCAGCACAAUUUAUUCAGAAAGCUCUAAUUGUACAGAAACACAAAACUCUUUUGUCUAGAACCCAGGAUUUCGUCUCUUGUGUUUCUCCAUAGUUGGCUACUGGUAAAUUUUCCAUAAUAUGUUACUCCACUAGUCAGCAAGUACUAGGACCAAAUCCACUUGAUUUGUUUUAAAUAGCACUUACCCAGAUGUUGCCUGCAGAACUCCAAAGGCAGGAUGAGGUCAACCCCACUGCAUUGGUUUUAGCUUCUCUGUCCAAGACUUCUGGUUUUAGUCUAUUAAACAAACCUCACCAUAAAAUCCUACCUUACAAAGCCUUGUAGCUUCCUCAGGUUACUGGAUUAAUCUGAUGGAAGGCAAAUACCCACAAUUAUAGCUGGAUAUAUGAAUAACAAUGCACAGACUUUGUGAUGGCCUGCAAGGAAGAAACCUACAGCAAAUUUGUCUUUCAUGUAGCUGCUACCAGAUCCAGGUCCCCUCUUUGCUUCUUGAAAGCCAAUACUAGGGAUAUGAGGAGUUGGUGGGGAGAUGGAAGAAGCUGUCAUCCUCAAAGCUCCAUCUUGGGGAACGCAGGUCCACCAAAGGACAUUUAUAGGAAGGGAAAGGAGGUGCAGAGGCUAAACAGUGUCUUCGUCAUUUAGGGUGUGUGUCUCCUCCCCCACCCCCAAACAUCAUAAUGGACCUUGAUCUCCUGGAUCUAGUUAGAAACAUUAGUUUUCUGCAAGUUAAACAUAAAACAAUAUAUAUGUUUUAUGUUAGUUAAUGCACAGAAUUAAAGAAUAAGGAGGGGUGUUACACAUUCUGAUGUUAUCUGAAGGUCACCAGAUAUUCUGGUGCUGUAAAUCUAAAGAAAGAUUAUUUAGCUGGACUUGGUGGUGCAUACCUGUAAUCUGUGACUUGGGAAGCUGAGGCAGGAGAAUCACAAGUUUGAGGCCAGCCUCAGCAACUUAGCAAGAUCCUGUCUCAAAAUAAAAAGGGCUGGAGAAGUAGCUCAAUGGUAGAGCACUCCUGGAUUCUAUCCCCAGUAUCAUUAAAAAAAAAAAAAAGUCACUCAGCAGUUCACAUCUUAAAUCAUUUAAGUACAACUUCUCUUUAAAAUAUGUUAUCCUGGGCAAAGGGAGGGAAGUACCUUGCAAAGGACACCUUGUAAGCAAUAGCCACUGGUCAGGGAGUUGAAGCCCACCCAAAUGUCUUUCAGGCUGAGCAGAGUCACAAAUGACUUCAACCAAAGUGAGAAAUGGAUGUGUCCCACCUUUCUCAUGGCGGAUGACUUGCUGUAGAUGGGCACACUGUUCUCAGAGCACAUCUCAAGGUUGCUUGAUCUACCUGGAUUUUCCUAAAAAUGUUUCUGAUUACUGUCUAAGUAUAAACCAAGUUAAAGUCUUUUGUACAAAUAACCCUAGAAGGCACACAUGGCAAGCCCUGGGAAACAAAAAGUUUACAGUUGUUAGGGUCCCCAAGGGAUACACCCGGCAGCUCAAGUGCACAGGAUGCUUAAUGGGGCCUCACACUCUAUGAAUUGGUAAGUUUUGGGGACCCCUGACUUCAGCCCUAGUAAUGUGGGUUAAUUCAGUGCUUCAGUCCCUGAAGGGGGACCACCUGCUUCCUCACAACACCAGCUCACCUGUCCCCACUUGUGGAUGACAUCUGGAGGUGUUCUGUGUGGAAAAUGCAGAAAUAGGAAACCUCAGCUCCUCUCUGCAGUCAGAGCUGUUGGGUGGACGCAGCAGGUUUGAAUUCAAAGUGUUCACUGCUCUUAGGAACUGAGAGGCAGCUGGGAGAGUGCCAGUCAGUGUUUUCCUUCUGGGACAGGGCUCCAGAAGCAGAUUCUGAAAAGCAGACCAGCAAUCCCCCAGUCUAUCCUCCACAGUCUAAAGUUUGCCUCCCUGGGGACUUGCUCUAGGUUUUUCUUCCAUUGUUACAAAAUCAGUGUGUCUCAUUACUAUAACUUCACAAUUUUCCAGUCAUCUUCUCAGCCAGAUCUUUUGUCUAGAAGGGAUGGGUAUGAGACUAUGAGUCUUCACCAAAUAUUUUCACCAUAUUUUUAUUAUUAUUUUACUUUUAUUUGCAUUUCUUUUAUGCUGAAUUUAUUCUUGUGCUAUAAGAAUGUGUUUCUUAAGUUUCUUCUGGGAUAUCUUUUCCUCCUCUGCAACCUCCUCUUCUGGUUUAGGAAUAAUUUGUUUCUUUUCCAUGAAGAAUCUCAUUGUGGUACCAGAGCUCACAUAUGGGUAAAAUCCGGCUAUGAGCUCUGUAAGUACGUCUUGCUUUGUUCAUCUGGAUUUGUUCAAUGACCAGAGAAUCAAUAUCUAAACCUUUUUAGUUUGUGCAGCAAAACUUCAGCACCCUCUUUGGACCACUGACCCUAUGUCCGGCCCCACUGUUUGACCUGGGCUCACAACACCUUGCUUACAACACCAGCUCACCUGUCCCCACACCUCUCAACUCCACUGUUAUAAUGCUGGAACAGCACACCUUGCUUAUCUAAAGUGACAGUUUUCAGAUUGUUGGUGGCAGCUUCGUGGCUUUUCAGAUAUGCAUACCCUUGAUGUCCUGGGCAGUUCCACAGGUGAACCCAAAUAUUUUAACUUCUUGAUUUGCAUGAUUUUGUGGGGUUUGCUGGGCCAAAUGAAUAGUGAACCUUUUUUUUUUUUUUUUAAGAUCACUUCAGGCCACUUGCAGGAAAAGUCAUUUUCACACAACUUAAACAGAAUUACUUAAAUCUGAAUCUCCCAAGAUCCUUUCUAGGCAAGCUGGUUUGGGAUUACUGUACGUGGGGAGAGAGAGAGAGAUAGACUAUGUCCAGGAGAAUUGUCACUGAGUUUAAAAAACUUGGCAGAGGAACUCUGUUGUCCUCUUCCACCCCCUGUCCUCAUCCUGAUCAUGACCCAGUAUCAGGCCUAGAGAGAGGAUCCGCCACGUCUGACCAUGGCUGCAUUAAAUAAUCAAAUACCUUCCUGAGGUGUGUGUACCAGGCCCCAGAGUCACCUGCGGCUGACUGUUGCAUGACAGACUGCAAAAAGCCGACAGCAGUGAGAUUUCAAGAGGAGGCCCAAAGUCCCAUCUGACUCAAGAGCCAGCAGAGGAGAGUUCAGCUUCUUGUGAUUUGACCUUCCCCGCCUUUCAGCUUCCACUAGAAACCCCACCAGGUUCAAUCAGCAGAGGCCUCAUCAGAAAGUGACCCCUUCUUGAGUGAGGUCCAGACAGACCCCCAGCAUUCAUGAUUUGCUUCCGUGGCUCACGGCCCCACAAAGGGAUGUUUUUUUGUUUUUUGUUUUUAAACAGCCUCAAGAGUCUGGGUCCUCCUGCUUACUGAGCUGAGUGGCCACACCUGUUUUCAGCUUUGUAGAGCUGAAAACAACAGGCACCCAGGCUCCAGAGCCCAGGUAAUUGGAGGAAACCCUUGGCCCUCAAAAGCCAGUGGCUUUUCCUUGCUUCGCCAGUAGAAGGGGGUAGCUGCCCCCUUCUUAUCCAAGCGGAGAGGCUGCCUGGCUAGUGAGGCCUUUUGGAAGCAAGAUUUUUUAAAGCUCCUUUCACCUGUCAGUCAUAUAAUCUGAGUUGACUGCCCCCCUCAAAGGGGCAUCUGAUUUGAGCUUAUUAGCAAGCCUAAAGUCUGCUUUUCAAAAGGCAUGACUCUACGUCACAAACUCCCAAAAGUGUAUCUCCAUCUGGAAAGUGCCCCCCUUUCAUGCUUUUUUGGCACACCACCUUUCCUUAGACAAAAAUUUAAAAAUCCAGCACUGACACCUGGUCUGUCUCCCACUCCUAGAGUCCAGUGAGAUUCCAGGCCUUCAUUUAGUUUCUUAAGAAGUCAGCAGUUUUCUCUGUACCGCCAGAACCCCAGGGCUAAUGGGCAUUCAUCUUACCCAAGAGUGGCAAAAAGAAGUCUUUGUAGACUGUGAGUCUCUUUCCAGGAUCGAUGAUCCUUACAAGGAUGUAAUAUCCAAAUCAGUUUUUAAAACUCCUCUUUUUCCUCACUCCAAAGUUUGCACAAACUCCUCUUAGAUAAAUUCAGUGUUUUGAGGGAUUCAAUCACAGCUGCAGGGAGACGCUGUUUCCUCCUUGCCAGGGAAUGCAAAAGAGACACGCCAUGCAGGUUACAGGAGCCCCCUUUCCCUUUUCUGGUGCUCAUGGAAGUUUCCCUGUACAUUCCUUGGCAUCUCCAUCGACUCUGUGUUCUGCGUCCCCUCUCUGCACAGGCAUAUGGGUGCUGGUUUUCAACAGAGCUGUCAAUAUCUCUACUCCACGCACUUGUUUCACCUGUGUAAGGAGACUAGUGUUCCUGUUGAUACAGGAAGAUCAGCCAGAGUCCAAAGGGAACUAAGGAUCAGAAGCUUCUCCAGUGCAGGAGGCCACACUCCCCACCCCGGAGAACUAAGACAGCUUGGCUCUGCAAUCUCAAACCUGCUCUGGCUGUAGCCAUUAAUCUACCCUUCCUCCUCUCACGUGUAGGAAAGAGCAACAUAAACUUCUCUUUUCCUACCUAAAGCCCACCUUUAAAAAUUUCUGGGGGGGCUGGGGAUGUGGCUCAAGCGGUAGCGCGCUCGCCUGGCAUGCGUGCGGCCCGGGUUUGAUCCUCAGCACCACAUACAAAACGAAGAUGUUGUAUCCGCCGAUAACUAAAAAAUAAAUAUUAAAAUUAAAAAAAUAAAUAAAUAAAUAAAAAAUAAAAAUUUCUGGGGGCCCUUCCUCUCCCAUGCAAAGUAGAGAGCCAAAUCCAGAGGCACCAUUUGGGCUGCAUUUUCUAAUCCUGUUUCCUAAUACCUAGCUGACAAAUUUCCCAUGGAUCCUGGUUCCCUUGGAUAUUGCUCAAGUCUUGCUAACGAGUCCCAGAGCUCUUAGCUGUCUGGUAAAACCACUUGACAGAUAGGAUCCUGUUCUCUUUGCCACUGUAACUGUUGGGUGUUAAUAUUUACCCGUAUUAAUUUUAUUCUGAACACAUGGCCUGAGGUGUUAUGGUUCAGAGACAGAUUAGUUAUGAGUUACACAAUAAGGUAAAGUAAUGUUAUGUAAAUAUAACUGUGUAGGCACCUUUGCUCCAGUGUUUACCCUAGGGUGAUAUGAAGGAACGUGACAAGAGACCCAAGGUGAGGAUGGAGAAAAGCGGAUUUUUUAAUCAUUAUAUACAGGAGAAAGAGGCAACUGCUUCCUCUCCUAAAAGGAGGGAGGGAAAACUUUUGCUGCUUGGAGAUAGGGAAAGGGUUCUGGCUACUCCCUCUAACCUUUUGGAAUAUAAGUACAUCUCUCCAGGAGCCAGGUCAGCACUGGGGGCUUAUUUCCCCCUUGAAAUGUAAUCUCAUCUUUUGAAUUGGGUAAAUCCCUCCAGAGUCUCUCACUAGAUAGUUACAACUUAGCUGAUGAUCCCAAGUUUUCACCAUCGUGUUUCCAGAAAGCUCCAGCUCUUCAAGAACAAAGAUUCUGCCUCUUGCUGACAGUUGCUCCAUUGGGCCAUGUUGGAAGCAGGCUGGGAGCAGGAGUUGAGACCCAGCAGUCUGUGCUGCGCAGGCUCCCUGGGGCUCCCUGGGGCUGACUUUGCUCCCACCACUGGAGUUGCAGCGCCUGCUCGCUGGGCUGCCAGGCUGGAGCCUGGGAUAGGGAAGGAAGGAGUGGCAGUGGGCCAAGCGCAGGGUUGGUGAAGUGAGUUGGAGUUAAAAAGCUUCAGCUUGUGGAGAGUCGGAGUAUUUAUCUAUGGUGCCCUUGGGAGAGAGGUCAGUUUAUGAAUAAAUGGAGAGUGUUGACCUUAAGAUACCUGAAAAAGAGGAAGAGAGGACUAGAGAAACAAUAAGCUAGGAAGCAAGUAUAUUUUAAAAGAUGCUGGAGCUUCUUCCCUGGGCUGCAACCCAAAGUGUUGUUUUUUUUUUUGUUAUUUUUUUUUAGUCGGGGGGUGGUGGCUUUGAGCCGUGUCCGUACGAGACCAAGGAAGAGGUCAGAUAGCCUUUGCAGGGUAUUCUAGUAGGUUCUUCCUGGCCACACUCUGGGGAUAUCUUCUGGAUGACCUGGGUCGAAUAUGCAGUGGUGGAUGGCUUACUGUGAAGUGGGUGGUCAGCUCCUAGAAGCAGCAAUCAAGGGACCCUCUCCUAUAGAGAUCAGAGUUGGUGGCCUAGAGCCCCUUUCAAGACUUCUCAGGGGUUGUGAACUUUACAUCUGAUUUUUAAGGGAUUGGCCUUGGGAAAAGAGGCUGAAGUCCUGCUGAGGUACAGUCACAAUUGCCCAGAUGAAAUAUGAAGACUUUUACUUCUGGGCUGAAGAGAAAGGAAUCUGCAGUUUAAAAAAUUGAACCCUUUGUAUCCCUAAAGUUUCUACCAGCCUAGAAAUGCUUCUCAGUGAAACUGCGCUUAUGUGAAUUAUUUCCCCAGGGUGGCCUUUAUCUUUUAAACGUUAAUAUCUCAGAGGCCAGAGGAGUCUGAUCAAUUCAAAAGAGGCUAGAACAGGGCAGAUGGUCUGGGGACUUGGAAGGGACCACUGAUGCAGAAACUCGAUGAUGCUUUUCAGAUUGGGCCAGGAGGGAAGGUGACCAGCCUGGCAGAGCAGCCCUGCUGAGGCGGCAUGGGGAAGUAUCUGUGGGCAUGGAGAGGCCUUCUGCAUCCUGGGGCAGAUCCUGCUCGUUGCUCUGGUUUUCCCAAUACCCUCCGCCAUCAAUAGGAGGGAAGCAGGCGGCUGUGAUUUCUGUGAUGCUUUUGGUAGAGUCUGUGAACAUGGGUAUAGUCUGGGGUAGGAGAUUGUAUGUUUAUCUCAUGAUGCAAUGUGGAGCCCUCUGCCAGCUCCUGUUACCACGGAGCCUGGUUCUCAUUGAAGCAGGAGGCCUCUGUGGGGCUUGAUCCACUUCUAGGCAGACCCAGCCACGGAAACCUGGGGCCAGGGUGAGUCCAGGCUCAUUCAGGAUCAACAAAUGGCAGGGCAUUACCCAUUCCUGAAGGAUAAAUGAGGUUGUCCAUAUCUGCUUCUAAGUCCUGAGUUAAUUAUUAAUACAUGGACACUAAUGGUCAUAUUGGCUUCUGGUCUCCAUUUCACAGACUUCCUUUCGGGAGAGACUGAAAAGCAUCUUGUGCUCAGGGCUGUAACUAUCAAUUUCCAGAGCAACCUGUUCUGUGAUUUCCACACACAGUAAGAAACUCUUUCUCCUCUAGAAGAGUGCUUAUUGCAAAUUUUUUAGUACAGAUUUCCCCACGCAGUUAAAACCUAGCAAUACUAGUCAAAGCUGAAGCUUCUGCCUCUCCCAAGCCUCCGCAGCCCAGCCCAAUGUGAUAUGUGCAAAGCUACAGGAACCCAGUACAGUUUCUGUAAAUAUCCAGCCAUGUGGCAUUCUUACUUCACAGUAGUAGAGGUACCCAGGAGAGCAUCUCCUGGAGGUUGGACCCAGAAACUUUUAUUGAGCCCUUGGCAAGACAAACAUGUUGCUCACAGCAGAAAAAAAUGAGGCAAUAAAUGUCGAGUGUCUUUGGGCAGGGAUUUUGGUUAGAGAUAUGUUAUGUUGCAGAUUCUAGAAAGUCCUCUAAAAAUGACAAACAAGUGAGGGGUCAGUUUGUCUCACAUGGGAGAAACUUGAAGGCAGGUAGCCUGGUGUGAGCACAGCUCAGCAAGGCUGGCUGGCAGAACCCCAGGCUCACUUGUUCUGCUUUGACUUCUGUAGUGGCACAUGCUUGGCCUCUCACAGUCACAAGAUGGCUGCUUUCUCUUCAAGAUCCAAGGAGAAAGAAAGAAUCAAGGACGAAAGUAAUAGAUGAAGAAAGGGUCUUUUAAAAUCCCAUUGGCCAUAGUUGUAUGUCACAUGUUUUCUACUUUUAAGUGAGUCUGGAAAUUGAGUACUGGGCUUUCGUCUUUCCACACUGGAAGAAGAGGGAAAAGGUGAUUGGGAGUGAGUGUGUGGAUGGGCCAACCUACAUGAAUUGUGUCACAGUGAAAUAUUAAUGAAUAGGAUGGGCUGUGGAGGUGUAUACCUCUAAAAACAAGGUACAGCCAACAGUAGGCUUUACCCAACAUAAAUUGUUACCUCCUGGAUGAGGGGAGGGUCAUGGUCAGAAUUGGUGUCUGGUCAAAUAGGCUAGGAUAGUUGGGAAAAGUAAAGCCAUGAUUGGCCGAGAAAUCCACCCAUGUACUAACUAGUGCCCUAUAAGAAAAACUUGGGAGUACUAAUAAUGACAUGGAACAAGUGAUGAUCAGGUGUAAUAUCCCUAAUUUGGGAAGAAAAUUAAAGUUGCUAAAUAUUGAUGGAAGAAUGAACCUGUGUCAAAUCUUAUCCCAGGUAUUUUCAGAUGUUUUCCCACAAAAAUUUAAGCAAAUAUUAUUAAUCAUAUUGAACAGCUGAGGUCAGUAAUUAAUACUCAAAGAGGGCACACAGUCGGUGGAAGUGGAGGAUUUGAGCCCAGGUCUGCUUAAUCAGUUUCAGGACUUCCCUUAUUAUCCAAAGCUGCCAUAGGUGCUGCAAGACCCCACAGGGAAAAUCUGGCUCUUCUUCCUCAUGAUGGUCCUGCCCAGGCUCCCCCAAAUGUCUGAGAAUAGCAUUCAGGUCACCAGUGCCUCUAACCUCUGCUCUUCACUAGAAUUGAAGCCCCUUGAGGGCAAGGACUUAGUCUUAUUCACUGUGGUUCCCCUGAUAACUGGCAUAUAGUAGGUACUCAAUAAAUAUUUGCUGGAUAAGGAAUGAUGGAGGGAUGGUGUUGUUAUAUCAGUGUACUAUGAGUACCCAGCUUGAAACCACGGUACCCUCACAUUAAAUGUUUCUUAAGUAGGACACAAGAGGAAGACACCAUUUCCAGCUGCUGGGGUCAGAGAACAUUCCAUGGUAGUCAGCAUUUGAGUCAGGUCUUAAGUGAGAGAGAGGCUUUUGAAACACUGAGUCAUGGGGAAGACUGCUGUAGGUGGAGAAAAUGUGGACAAGGACAUAGAGAUGAGAAAGUGUGAACUAUUCAGGGAGAGGCUAGUGUGAAUGGAGAGAAAUUGUAGCUGAAGGGCAAUAAUAGGCAUUAGUUAGGAAGAUUGAGUUUGUUGUCAAAUGUGAUCAGGAACAGGGUUAAAUAAACUAGAUUGUUUAUUACAGAAGUUCUCGAAGCCUUUAACCAGGUCAUUGUGACUCCAAGCAGGAUUCUCAAAACAUUUGGGACCUUUGUUUCUUGCAGAACUUUACAGAAUGAAUGUUCCUCAGAAUGUGUUUUGGGAAAUGCUGAUCUAGCUCAGCCCCAAUGUACAGGUGAGGGAACUGAGACAGAGAAGAGAGGUGGCUUACCCCUCCUACAGGGCCUAUUUGUAAUGUGAGGACUAUGGGAAUAGAAAAAAAAGUGUUGUUUUUUAGAAAACCUUUAUUAGUCUAUUAUUCACACAACAAUGUUGGAUUGAAUUUUCUUCCCCCAUUUUGUACAGUGCUAUUUUAAUUCAUCACCGUGACUGACAGUAAUAAGAGCUGCUGGUCACUCCCUGCCUGUUUGGCCUCCAGAAUCUUGUGAAGAAGAUUCACUUCAAAGCUGUCCCCAGUUUGCCUGAAGGGCAAAGAAACAAUAUGCCCAGCCUUUUUAGGGAAACAGGGCAGUUUACAACUUUUGUCUUUCUCCUUUACUAUUCCUUGUCCCUAUCCUUUAUGCCUGUAGUAGGUCCACCAAAGAUGUCCCCAUUCUAAUCCCUGGAACCUGUGAAUAUGUUACCUUAUGUGGGCAAAAGGGACUUUGCAAAGGGAAUGAGGUUACAGAUUUUAAGUUAGGAAGAUUAUUCUGGGUUAUUGGGGUGGACCCAAUCUAAUCACAUGAGUCCUUACAAAUAGAGAAAUGUCUCUGUCUAGAAGCAGAAUAGACAUCAUAAGGGCAAUCAGAGAAAACUGAGGUGUGAGAAGGAGCCACUGCUCCUUGAAGAUGAAGGGGUCAACAUGACAAGACAUGUAGAUGGCUUUUGAGUUGCUGAGAGGGCCUCACAUCUGACAGCCAUUGAGGAAAUAGGGACCUUUAAUCCUCAGUCCUACAACCAUAAGGAACUGAAUUCUGUCAGAAACCUGAGAUUCUCCCCAAGAGCCUCUAGGUAAAAAUCACAGGCUAACCAAAUCCACCAGUCAAGCUGCCAGACCUCUGACCUAUAGAUUGUGAGAUAAUAUAUUUGUGUGGUUUUAAACCACCAAGUUCGUGGUAAUUGCUUGUCAGUCAUAGAAAACUAUUACAACUGGAUGACGUCAUUAACAUAUCCAGAGUAGAAGCCUUGAAGGAAAAGAGGUUAGGAAAGGGCACCUCAAGACCUAACUGGCUUUUUUUUUUUUUUUUUUUUGGUACUAGGGAUUGAACCCAGAGUUAUUUAGCCACUGAGCCACAUCCCCAACCCUAUUUUUUAAACAUGUAUUUUUUAGUUGUAUGUGGAACAAUACCUUUAUUUAUUUUUAAAAAUGUGGUGCUGAGGGUUGAACCCAGCGCCUCAUGCAUGCUAAGUAAGCACUCUACCUCUGAGCCACAACCCCAGCACCCCCAAGCCCUAUUUUUUAUAUAUUAUUAGAGUUGCUAAGUGCACCGAGUUGCUAAAUGCCUUGCUAAAUUGCUGAGGCUGGCUUUGAACUCAUGAUCCUCCUGCCUCAGCUUCCCAAGCUGCUGGGAUUACAGCAGAGAGCCACUGUGCCUGGCAUGUUUUUAAAGAGUCUGCUGGUUUGAGCAUUUACCUCCUUUCUUCCUAGCUGAGACCUCCCUUUAUCACAAUGAAGGUGGUAGCCUCAAAGAGCACCCCCAAAUAUGACUACUUAUCUUCUCUGUGCUUCCAGGUGCUGACAACCAGACUGUGGAGUCUGUCAUAGUUCGUCCAGGGCCUCUGUGACUCAACUGAUAUUUGAUAUUAGUGGACAGAUCACUUGAAAAGGAGGCUGCUAAUUUAGGAAUCUAGACAGGCUGAGGUGUGGUUAAAAAAGAUCACUGAGGACUGGCUGUGAAACAGCUCAGCCUCCCUAAUGGAAGUCAUUACCUUUCAACAGAGGGCAUUUCCCAGAGGGGAGCCAUUUGUCUGAGUGCAAAAUAAACAUCACCUUGCUUAUGAAAGAAUUUCAGCUUCCAUGUCAGAUAACCUGACUACCCUUAGAUCUACAGCCAGCUUCUGAGUCUUGGCACUCUUGUUUCUACAUGUGGAGGAAAGUGUUUGCAUUCUUCUAUCAAACUGAAAGGGAGACAUGGGGGGUGGGGUUGGCUUUGCUUGCCCGAAAUCUUUCUCUUUUUUAUUUCCAUUUUGAUUGGUUUUCUGAGCCUAUUUGAAGUUAUGAUACAAUAGAUCUAAUUAUUUAAAGUCAUUGAGAUUAUUGCAUAGCCCCUUAUCUCUGAUGAGGAGUGUGUUGUUACAAAAUGUUUUUGGUUUCACAAGUCCAGGAUUGAUUUUGAUGUUAAAAAAAAAAUUGGUGGAAAUUCUGUAUUGGAUAAAAGAGCAGUUUAGAAUCAGGGAAACUUCUUGGAUUACUUUGAACAAAACAUCCUUUUUUAAAAUUAAACUUGAGUGUAUCUGCAGGCUGUUUAAUUUGCGCUCUAUUGUCAUCUCUAAUGUGUGUAGAAGAUACCUUUCCCACAGUGGGAUUCAAUACUGGCGCCCAAAAAGAUGGUUUCAGAUUUCAUGUGUCCGGGUAAUUAGCCCAGUUAGAGAGGCUCAGUUAAACCAUUUGAAGGUCAAUAAUGCAUGAAUUUCUGGCAGACUGCCUAGCACAUAGUCCAUAAACACGUUUGUAUGGUGAUUAAAUGUUUUCAUAGUAAAGAUUAUAUCUUAUUUUUUUUUUAAUAUUUAUUUUUUAGGAGUAGUUGGACACAAUGCUACAACCCCAGCCUCAAGAUUGUAUUUUUUUUAAUUUUUUUUUUUUUUUAGUUUUAGGUGGACACAAUAUCUUUAUUUUGUAUUUAUAUGGUGCUGAGGAUCGAACCCAGUGCCUCAUGCAUACUAGGCGAGCACUCUACCACUGAGCCACAAUCCCAGCCCCAAGACUAUUUUAAAUAUGAAAUAAUAUCAGGAUUAGUUUUAUCUAAAGUCUAAUGUUAUGACAAAUUCAUGUUUUAGUAUGACACAUAAAAGUUCAGAUUUGAGUGUUUUCCAAAUUUCCAAAGAAAUCUUUCCAUUAUUUUGCAUAUUUGGUAACAAAUGCCCCAAAUUAAAAUGUCAGAAUUUAAAUUCUAAGAGCAGAUGCUCUUGGAAUUUGUUAAAGUGACUUAAGGACAUAAGAUAAAUGUAAAUGUAAGCAUGAUAGUUAUUUUUUCCCCAUAAAGGUACAGUUCUGAUGUAAAUCUUUCAUUUUCUCCCUGAAAUUUUACUAAUCAUUCAGAUAGAAAAAUAAACGCUCAAUUGUCAUAAAGAUGCAUUUACACGCUCAAUUGUCAUAAAAAUGCAUUUAAUUCAAGAGCUUCAUCAGUGAACAAAACAGACACAGUAUGAUUGGGUCAGGCAGAUCAUACCUUGAUUUUGGUUCUGUCUUUUCUUACUCAGUGACCUCAGGUCACAAGCUUUCUUUUUGUCUGGCCGUUUCCUCUAAAAUGAUAAGGAUACCAAACCUCAUCUUAAACUACUCAUAGUCACCUUCAAGACAGCGAGUGAACAUGCUAAAUUGCUGCCCUGUGUCAGAGCUUCACUUAGGGUGCUGGGGACCUUCUAUUGGCUUGUGCUUCCCACACCCACCAACUCUGGAGAAAGUGACCGCACUGCCAGAUCAGUAUGCUGGCACCAACUUUCCCACUUGAGACAGUGCAAAGUUGAGGCUUGUUUUACUAAAACUUCCCACUGACAAUCUGUAACUGGCAGACUUUAGGAGUCCACUGUCCCUGUUUGAGGCCUGAGUAUUUACACCUCAUGGAUUUGCCAGGAAACAGAUCUUUGAACCACUUCUUUGGCCUGUGGCUUCUUUUGCUGGAAAACCAUCAGCAUAGGGUAUUUUUCUAGAGGUCUUCCAUCUGAGGCUUUAGAAGGGGUCUUUGUGUCCUCACAAGAAAACUGCCUCUUUUUCCUUAGGACUUUGAUGAGGGCUUAGAUUGCAUAGGAUUACUGUUGAGCUAUUGUCAUCAACUCCAGGAGCAUGUCACACUUUCCCAGGGGCCUGCUCCCACUGGACAGGCACUUUCUAAGCCACUUUCAGUAGAGGCAUGGGAGUGAGGGGGACAGGGACUGAUUGCCUGGGUUUAUAUGAGUCUGUAUCCAUCACUGAGCAGGCUGAUUCUAGUUAUCCUGGACUUUACAGGAUGUUAUCAGUUUUCACCAAUGAAGAGCUUAAUAUUUUGGCGAUGGGCAUACAUCUACAUGCCACAUACCAAUUUGUCUUUCACUGCCCCCACCAAAAGGUAUGCUUUCAAAAAAUAUUUUUAUUUUUUAUUUUCAGAGAGAGAGAAUUUCAGUAUUUUGGCGGACACAACAUCUUUGUAUGUGGUGCUGAGGAUCGAACCGGGCCGCACACAUGCCAGGCAAGCGCGCUACCGCUUGAGCCACAUCCCCAGCCCUCAAAAAAUAUAUAUUUUUUUAAUAUAUUUUUUAUUAGUUGUUGACGGACCUUUAUUUCAUUUACUUAUUUAUAUGUGGUGCUGAGAAUGGAACCCAGUGCCUCAAACAUACUAGGCAAAUGCUCUACCACUGAGCCACAACCCCAGCCCUCAAAAAAUAUUUUUAAACUCAUCAUUCUUUGCUUUCAUUACAACUUAAAGAGAUUAAAAAAAAAUUAGUACACCAACCAAAUUCUUUCUGAGUAAAGAAUCAGUAAAUUAAUAAGAAUAAAAUCUGUUGCAGAAAACACAUCAGACACAAUGACCUCAUCUAUAUUGUUGUACUUUGUUGACAUUUACCUUCCAGCCUAACCACUUUUUCCAUUUCUGAAGCACCCUAGAGUACAAAGCUUUAUGUUAACAGAGAGAACAUUGUUGUCAACUGUUUACUCUCCGGCCCACAGACUCUCUUUAGCCUUCUGAUCCCUGGUGUAGCUCCAGGGUCAAAGGUCCACAGCAGGCCUGGACUUAAGGGUACUCUUUUAAUUACUGCAUAGUAGUUGAGGAUAAAGCCAAAGGGCUGGCCCUCGGAUUGUGAAAUCUGAUUUAUAUCUAUAAGUGAGAUUUUUGUGCACAGAAAGUUAAUUUUGCAUUCCAAAAACCAAAGGAGGGCAACAGUCACUGAAACAGACCAGUGCUGUAGCUUGGAAAUGAUCCCCGCAUCUGUCACAAAAGUUCUCUGUUAGGGUUCACUCUGCUUUCAGGCACAAAGAAAACUUGAUUUAUGCACCUGAAGGACGUAUCUUAGCAACGGCUGUGAAGGAAAUGUACUGAGAAACUUUCUCUAGGCUUUGUCUAGAGGGAGUGCCACAAUGGAGGUUAAAGCAAUUUAACAUGUUCUCUACAGUGCAGUUUAUAUGUAGUUGUAUUAAUUUUAAGGAGAAAAAAAAGGCAAUUAGUUUUCCUAUUUGAUAGUAGAUUUGUUUGUUCUUAAAAUACACAUCCCCAUGCCAUGGUAGGAAUUAUGAAUAAAUUCUCUAAAGAGUAUCUUCGGAUUUCCCAAGAAAUGUUAGGAUUCUUUUAAGAAGUUGUUUAGAAUUCUUAAAAAAUGUAAGAUAAAAUUCCACUUCCCAUACAUUUCUGUUUGUUAAUUUAAAGUAUAGCUUUCUGGGGGAAUAAUAUUUUCUUCUGAAAUAACUAGAAAUUCACAGGAGGUGGGAAAGAAAUGUAUAGGAAUGUCCUCUGCACCCCUCUUCCAGUCCCAUAAAAAAUCAUGACUGUUAGUUUUCUUAUGAAAUGAGAAAUUAAACUUAAGGAUCCAAGUAGAAAGUGGGUUGCUUCAGUUCUGGCUCCAGGGUGAAACUGGAGAACAGAGCACAGCUGGCUUCUGAUUCACUUGCAUGGAAAUGGAGAGUCACAGCAAGUGGGGGCAGCAGGGGCAUCGGACAGCACACCAACUAUCCAGCCACUCGUCUCACUCCUUUCAGGGUCCUCCCUGCUCCCAUCUCAAAAUUCAAAGCAACUGGGUUUAGGGAGAGUGUGAGACCAGGCUCACAUGGGUAUAGUGCGGUUAGGCAAAGUCUGUAGGUUUUGCCCCCUCUUCUUCCCCAGGAUGCUAGCCCUUGUCUUUGAAGGCAGCAGACCUACCCCCCCACCAACCUCCACCCCGCUUUAAAAUUAAGGGUCCCUACUCCCACCAAGAGUAAUCAAUUCAAGAUCACAUGCAAAGAAAAAUAUUUGUUUGGGAGAAGUUGGAAAGAGAUACAAAAAUUUUAAGUCAUUUAUUUUAAACUAAGCACAUAAAAUUCUACCAAAGAUGCAUUAAAAAUAUUUGAAAUUGCACUUUAAUUUCAUAUUUUGUCUGGUUGAGGAGGGAGGUAAAAAGAGAAGAAAGUAAAUUUCAAUUGCAGAAAGAAAAAGAAAGGGAAGGAAUGAGUGGGGUUGGGGGAGAGUUAUCACCCUUAGGUCAGGAGCGGAGGUUCAAGGAGAAUUUUGACUUUUAGGUAAGUUAAUGUCCCAUGGAAGAGUGAGUUUCAGGGUGUCAUGUAUUGAAAUGUUAAUUAAUGGGUUAACCAUUCAUCUGACUUCUUGGACUGCUACAGACAUAAGAGCUUCACCCAGCGGGCUACAACUGAGCCACUUGACACCACCCCUCCUCAGGAAACUCCAGGACCAACUUUGUUGAACAGUAGUUACUUUCACAUUACUAUCCUUCACACACACCCCCAUCUCUUUCUCACUCCAAAGAGUGUCAACUCAGAUCUGCAUUAGGGACAUCCCCUGGGAAGUUGUUAGAAAUGCAGAAUUACAGGGGGCUGGGGAUGUAGCUCAGUUGGUAGAGUGCUUGCCUAGCAUGCACAAGACCCCAGGUUCAAUCUGAGCACCACCAAAAAAAAGCAGAAUUACAGGUUCUGCCCCAACCCACCUUCCAAAACAGAAUCUGCUGGUCUCUGUAGCUUUUUUCUUAUCCUUUUCCCUUCCAGAUUGCCACUUGUCUUGCAGAAACAAGGCUUAAUCACUUGGAGAAUCUUACUUCAAAGUCUUAUUCCUUUGGUAUUUUCUUACCUCAAGGAUAGGUUCCCCAGCUCCCUUUGCACCCUUUUUCUCCCCAUUCCUGUCUUUUUCUCCUCUCAUGAUUGUGCCAUCUCUCUAACUUUAGAAAGAUCAGAUGACCUGGCUGUGCAAACGCCCCCCCCCCCCACACACACACACCACUCCUUCCCCUCACCUCCCUCCCUCAUUCUGCUGUGCCUCAAAAUAUUCCUGGUCUCUGCCACCCUCUAUUCUUAAGUCUCAGAUAAAGUACCAUCUUCCUUAUUUCUAAGCUAGUUUGAAACACUUUCUCUUUUCCCUUCUCAGAGAUCUUGCUGUCUUACUAGUCUUCUUUCUCUGGGAAUUAUUUCUGUCAUUUCUACUAAGCCCUUCCUUUUUGCAUCCAAAGGUGCAGAGAGAUCACAACACACACAGUCAUAUUACUUGUUCCUAUUCUUCUCUGAUUUGUAAUCUGUUUCACCCCUUUCACAAUCGGGUUUCUCACACAAAUGGUCUGGAAUACUGUUUCCAGGUUGAAUGAUUUUGCGUCCUGGCUCCAGGGACAUUUGGCAAUGUCUGGAGACAUUUUUGGUUGCUUCAAAUUUAGGAAAUUCUAUUGGCAUCUAGUGGGCAGGUAGAGUUGAGGGAUGCUAUGAGAUAUCCUAUGAUGCCCAUGACUGCCCUCUCCCCAACAAAGAAUUACCAGGCUGGGAUAAACAGAGAUCCCAGUUUGCCUUUGAUUUUUCUAGUUACAGCACUGAAAAUCCUGUGACUCAGGAAAAUUCUUAGUCCUGGGCAUAACUGGACUACUGGUUGCCAAAUGAUUCCAAAUGUCAAAAGUGUCAAAGUUGAGAAACUCCAGAAGGAAGACCCAUUAAUUUUACAUUUUUUUUUUUUUUACUAAUGCCCUUCAUAUGAUGUGACCUUUAAUUUUUAUCUUUUCUAUUGAAACUAUUUUCUUUCCUCUUUCCUUUAUUUAUUUAUUUAGUUUUUGGCAGUACUGGGGAUCGAAACCACAGUGCUCUACCACCAGGCUACACCUUCAGCCCUUCAAAAAAAAAAAUUUUUUUUUUUUGAGUCAGGGUCUUGCUAAGUUGCUGAAGCUGACCUCAAACUUGAAAUCUUCCUGCCUUGGCAUCCUGAGGCACUGGGAUUAUAGGUGUGUGCCACCAUGUCCUGCUUUAUUGAAACAAUUUUCUUGAAAGAGAUUAUCUUCGAACCAAUAGUCAUUUUCCUUCAACCAAGCUUUUGACUUGACUCUGUGUGUGUGUGUGUGUGUGUGUGUGUGUGGUGGGGGGGCGGUUGGCGUACAAACCCUCAAACAUCCUAGGCAAGCACUGUACCACUGAGCUAUGCCCCUAGCCCACCCCUCUUUUGUGAGAUAGGGUCCCCUAUGUUUCCCAGGCUGACUUGGAACCCCUGAGCUCAAGCAGGCCUCUGCUUCCCACUUUACUAUUCAUUUUGAAGCUCUUUUUCCCUCAUUCUGAGUUCCCCCUUCUAACCUCGUUACUGUGUCUUCUCUCUUUUGUAUGUUUUUAUUUGUACUCUCUUAAAUGCAUAUAGUCUCUUAGUGAUGUGUUCCUUGUCUCUCUUCUUUUUUUUUUAAUAUUUAUUUUUUAGCUUUUCGGCGGACACAACAUCUUUGUUUGUAUGUGGUGCUGAGGAUCGAACCCGGGCCGCACGCAUGCCAGACUAGCGCGCUACCGCUUGAGCCACAUCCUCAGCCCAUCUCUUCUUUAUUAAAGAAGUCUGACAUUGGUAGCUGUCCAGUAGAAUCUGGAUACAGGGUCUCACGAAGUUGCUUAGAGCCUUGCUAAAUUGCUGAGGCUGACCCAAACUUCCAAUCCUCCUUCCUCAGCUUUCUGAGUCACUGGGAUCACAGGUAUGCACCAUGUGUUCAGCAGGAUAGUCAGUCUUAUGUGCCUUGGGCUUUCUUCUUCCAUGGUUUUUCUCCAUGUCUUCUUGAUAAUUGGAAAAAUACUGUGGCCCUUUUCUGUUUCAGAUCUUCCUGAUUAGCUAGGAGUGGUGGUACAAGCCUGUAAUUCCAGCAACUUGGGAAGUUGAGGCAAGAGGACAUCAAGUUUGAGGCCAGCCUUGGUAACUUAACAACUUAGGGAGAACCUAUCUUAAAGAGAAAAAUAAAAAGGGCUGGGAUGUAUCUCAGUAGUAAAUCCUGGGUUCCAUCCCCAAUACCAAAACCAAACCAAAAACCAAAAAUAUCUUCCUGAUCACCUCCAUUAGGAAGGUGUGGAACGGUGAAAAUAUACCAAAUUAGGGCUGGGGCUGUAACUCAGUGGUAGAGCACUUGCCUUACAUGUAUGAGGCACUGGGCUCAACCUUCAGCAUCACAUAAAAAUAAAUUAAUAAAUAAAGAUAUUGUGUCCAACUACAACUAAAAAAAAAAAAAAGAAAUUUACAAAAAUAAAGAAAGGAAGCCAGGCUCUAUGGCAAAUGCCUAUAACCCCAGUGGUUCGAGAGGCAGAGGCAGGAGGAUCAUGAGUUCAAAGACAGCCUCAGCAAUUUAGUGAGCAAUUUAGUGAGGCACUAAGCAACUCAAGACCCUGUCUCUAAUAAAAUACAAAAUAGGGCUAGGGAUAUGGCUCAGUGGUCAAGUGCCCCUGAGUUCAAUCCCCAGUACCCCCACCCCCAAAAAAGAAUGCCAAAUUAGGAGUCAGAAGACCAUUCUCUGUCACUUUAUUUGCUUUUAGACUUUUAAAAUUUUUAUUUAUUUAUUUUUUAUUUUUUGGUACUGGGGAUUGAACUCAGUCGUGCUUUACCAUUGAGCCUCAUCCCCAGCCCUUUUUAUUUUUUAUUUUGAGACAAAGUCUCCCUGCGUUGCUUAAGACCUCCCUAAAUUACUGAGGCUGGCCUUGAACUUGAGAUUUUCCUGCCUCAGCCUCCAGACUCUGGGAUUACAAGUGGGCGCCACUGUGCCCAGUAAAUUUUUUUGUUUUGUUUUAUGGUGCUAGGGAUGGAACUUAGGGCCUUGCUCAUGCUAGGCAAAUGCUCUACCACUGAGUCACACUCCAGCAUGUGAAAUAUGCUUUGAAAGAUAUGAACUUCUAUAUAAGCAUGUCUGACCUCCUGAAUUUUAAUAGACAUUUUGCCUUCCUGUGGCAGCUUACUGUUUCUUGCUCAUAAGUUAGUGACAGAUACUACAAACUUCUGAAAAGUAGAGACCAUGAUGUAAAUCUUUUUCUUUCAUAGGACUAUGAUUGUACAUGUCAUGUCAACAGAUUCUGAGUAAAGACUGAUGAAAGAAAGAAUAACAAUUCCAUAACUCUCUUUGUAACUAUUCUUGGUUUACUAAGUCCAAACACUUUUUACUGUGUCAUACUUAUCACCUACCCUCCUCUUUUUGAUCUCCAAUUUAGGUGAUGUCUUUCCAGUGCAAAUGAAUCCAAUAGUUCAGUCUCAGUUUGUACCAUUGGCUGAAGUUCUUUGCUGUGCUAUAUCUGAUAUGAAUGCUGCGCAGAUCUUAGUAACACAGGAAUCACUUUUGGAGCGUUUGAGGAAACAUCAUCCAGGUAAGGUGAUGAACUUUUCUGAAUUUGCAUCUGUUAAGUUUCUAUUUAUAACUAAUCAUAAACACAUAAGUAAACUAGGUGAUAUCCUUUUUUUCUUUUUCUAUAGAAUCUUAUAUGAAAACUCUGCUAGAAAAAGUCCUGCAUCAACAAAUUUGAUAAGGGAAUUUCUUUUACUUUCUAGAUGCAUUUUUUUAAAGUAAAUGUUUUUGACAGUAAAUAAAUCAAACUCUAGAAAGGAGUCAACAAAAAAAGUGCAUCUCCCCCACCUUUCAUUUUUUCCAUUCCCAUUCUCAGAGAUGACAACUGCUUUGUUUAUAGUUAUUACAUAUGAUUUUAUAAAUUGCACUUAAAUAAAUAUAUAACAUUUUAUAAUAUAAAUGGGAACAUUCUAUACAUUCUCCUUGUACCUUUAAUUUUUUUCCUUUACAAAAAUUGGAGUCAUGAAGCUGGGGCCUGGUAGCACCCAUCUGUAAUCCCAGUGCCUUGGGAGGCAGAGGCAGGAGGAUCUUGAGUUCAAAACCAGCCUCAGCUAUUUAGCAAGGUGCUAAGCAACUCAGACCCUGUCUCUAAAUAAAAUAUAAACCAGGGUUGGGGAUGUGGCUCAGUGGUCGAGUGCCCUUAAGUUCAGUCCUCAGUACCAAAGGAAAAAAAAAAGUUAAAGACAUGAGGCUAUGAUUUUUAAAAAUUCCCAUGUUUGCUCAUCAAGAAUGCCUUCCUGGACUGGGGCUGUGGCUCAGCAGUAGCGCACUUGCCUGGCAUGUGUGAGGCACUGGGUUCAAUUCGCAGCACCACAUAUAAAUAAAUAAAAUAAAGGUCUGUCAACAACUAAAAAAAAAUAAAAAUUAAAAAUAAAAAAAUAAUGCUUUCCAGGGGCUUGGGUUGUGGCUCAGUGGUGGAGCACUUGCCUAGAAAGUGUGAGGCACUGGGUUCGAUCCUCAGCACCACAUAAAAAUAAAUAAGAUAAAGGCACACUGUUCAUAUACAACUAAAAAAUUUUUUUAAAAAAGAAUGCUUUGGGGGGAUAUAUGCUUUGGGGAUAUAGCUCAGUUGGUAGAGUGCUUGCCUCAUAUGCACAAAACCCUGGGUUCAAUCCCCAGCACCACAAAAACAAAACCAAAAAAAAAAAAGAUUGGGCUGGGGUUGUGGCUCAGUGGUAGAGAGCUCACCUAGCACGUGUAAUGUACUGGAUUCAAUCCUCAGCCCCAUAUUAAAAAAAAAAAAAGGUAUUGUGUCCACCUACAACUAAAAUAAAAAAUAAAUAUUUAAAUAUUUUUUAAAAAGAAUGCUUUCCAAGCAGGUGCAGUGGCACACCCUUGUGGCUUGGGAGGCUGAGCCAGGAGGAUCUUGAGUUCAAAGCCAGCCUCAGCAAAAGUGAGGUGCUAAGCAACUUAGUGAGACCCUGUCUCUAAAUACAAAAUAGGGUUGGAGAUGUAGCUCAGUGGUCAAGUGCCCCUGAAUUCAGUCUCUGGCACCCCUGUUGCCCCCCAAAAAAUGGUUUCCUCAAAUAUUAUUUUUUUAAUGUGCUCAGCUCGAAUCCAGGGCCUCAUGUAUCCAAGGCAAGCACUCUAUCACUGAGCCACACUUCCAGCCCUCAAAAAGUUUAAAUUUAAAAUGGAUUUGUAUUUUGAGUAAAUUCAGAUGUUUUUCUCUAUUCAAUCAUUAAUGUAUCUUUUCAGGGAUCAAGUUAUAUUGAUGUUAUUCAGUUAAAUUAUUAAUGUCAUUUUUGCUUCUUUGGCAUUUUAAUUGAAUAUAUUAAUUGUGUUAUAAUUAACCCUGAGUUCAUCAAGCAAAGCAAAUGUGAGGUCAUUUUUUUUUUAAUUGGUACUGUGGAUUGGUACUCACUUUACCAUUGAGCCACAUCCCCAGCAAUUUUUAUUUUUGAGUUUGGGUCUCACUGAGUUGCUUAGGGCCUUUCUUAGCUGUUGAGGCUGGCCUUGAACUCGUGAUCCAUCUGCCUCAGCCUCUCCAGCCUUAUAGGUAUGCACUACCAUGCCCAGCUGUAUGAUUAUUUCUAAGUUGCUAAUUUUACUCCUUAUAAUGUUUCUUGUUCAAAAUCUGUAAAAUGCUUGUUUGUUUUAGGGAUUGCAAUUCCAUCUCAAGAUGUUCUCUAUACCACUCUGGGAACUCUGAUUAAAGAAAGGAAGAUUUAUCACACUGGAGAAGGAUAUUUCAUAGUUACUCCUGAGACUUACUUCAUCACAAAUGCAACAGCUCAGGAAAAUAAGAGAGUCCUCCUAUCAGAUGAAAGUCACCUAGUGUCCACUUCUGUGACCUAUCUGGUGAGCAUGGAGAACGGUGCAGAGUCCACCAAAGAGAAUGUUGUCCCUGUUUCCCAUUGUCGGUCUUGCCAGUGUUUCCCUGACACAUGCAGUCAGGGUGUUGAGGAACCACCAACUGCUGCAGAUAUGAUUAGAAAAGACCAGAAAGGUCUUGGGGAAUCCACGCCUUUUGUUCAGAAUCAGACAAUUUCAGCACCUGAAGAGAAUCAUAUCCAUGAGAGCCCUAAACUUUUACCAUACAAAGACAAAGAAAAAGGCAAGAAAUUUGGCUUUAGUGUUUUGUGGCGCAGCAUAUCUAGAAAGGAAAAGCCCAAAACAGAGCAUAGCAGUUUCUCUGCCCAGUUCCCACCUGAAGAAUGGCCUGUCCGAGAUGAGGAUAACUUGGACAAUAUCCCACGAGACAUAGAACAUGAAAUAAUCAAGAGAAUUAAUCCCAUUCUGACUGUUGACAACUUAAUCAAACAUACAGUCCUAAUGCAAAAAUGCGAAGAACAGAAAAAAUAUAAUAGCCAGGGCACUUCCACUGACAUGCUGACAGCCAGGCUUAAGUAUCCUUCCAAAGAGGGAGUUAAGAAAAGGCCCAGUCAGUCUGUCAAAAAGACUCGCAGGCGGGGCCAUUCUCAUAGGCAGAGACACAAAGUCCGGAGUUGGGGGAGUGAUCUUCAGCCAGGAAGUGUUAGACUGGAGAGGUACCCCAAGCUUCCUGCCACCCAGCCUGGCCCCAGAAUUAAAAGCCCCAAUGAAGUGAAAGUUCAGAAAUCACUUGGUGAAAAUCCAACAGUGCUAGUUUCCCACAUGAUUUACAAGAAGCGAAUCAGUAAUCCUUUCCAGGGCUUGUCUCUCCGAAGAAGCCCAAUGACCAAAGGGUACAACACUCAAAAGAGCAAUGGUCUAAAACCCCAUCAGAUUGGACCAAAGGAAAAGCCUUUCCAAAAGUCGAGGCUUUCAGAUUCCUCAAGAAUCUCUGAUGGUGAAGCCCAACAGCCAUAUCCUGAACAAUGUCAUGAUAAACUGAAAGCAGAAUCCAUUUAUGUGACAAAUUCUACUGUCCAAUCUGUCAGUGAUGACUUCAGAGCUGACCUCUUAAAUUCCCUUCAAUGUAGUGUUUUGCAAAAUGACAGUCAAUGCUACUCCUUUAGGGAAAGCAUGUUGAGAUAUGAUGCGCAUGGUGGUGAAAGUAAAGUAAUCUCUGAAGUCUUGGGAAAAAGUCAUUCACACUCUGACAAGUUAGGGGAGACCAAAGAAACAUGGCAUAUCCUGCCAUCACGAGGUUCCUCCUCAGCAGGACCAACAUCCUCUGCUAGUAGAUUAGUUGAUAAAACAAUACACCAGUUUCAAAACCUUGGCCUCUUGGAUUACCCAUUUGGUCCAAACUAUUUGAGACAAUCUGAGACACAAGAUAGAGAUUCAGAAUAUCUAAUGAGAAAGGCAUUUGUCCAGGAGGCAAAGACUGCAAAUCUAGAAAAUGAAGGGCUUUUUGAUGAUGACCAGGACUUGUAUCAGGACGAAGUGGAGGAUCAUGAUGGGGCUUGCAGUUCAUUAUAUCUAGAGGAGGAUGACUUUCCUGAGAAUGAUGGCUUGUGUCAAAUGCUACCUGGCCGCACUCAAUAUUCCUUUUUAGAUAGAAGCAAGUGGAAUCAGUUGGAAAGACGACAAGUGACUGAGAGAUCGCUGACUGAGCGUAACAGCAAAAUGGAUAGGUUUGAGCUUCAGGCACAUAGAAGAAAUGAAUGGUAUAAGCCUACUGGGUUGCUUAUAAACCCAGAUGAAAGACAAAACCAGAAUCUCUCUGCUGAAAUCCAUACCCAGUUUGAUUUCAACAAUGAAGAAGAACCCAGUGUUACUAAAUAUGAACAGGCCUCACCACCACCUGCAGCUGGAAGUUUAUUUGAUUACUAUAGUACAAGGAAACCCAAUAUUGAGGCUGAAAUCCUACAAGACUCUGUUGGUGACACAGUAAAGAAAUCAGUGAGCCAGAGUCCUCAGAAUCAGGAAAUGGGAAAACAUUUCCCACAAAAGUUAGAACUUUUCGAUGCUUCACAUAUACCAGUAUUGGCUCAGGAUAUCCAGCAUGAACACCGUCUCUUGGAAGGAACAGAAAACCAUAGCAUGGCCGGAGAUAGUGGAAUAGAUUCUCCACGGUAAGCACAUGUGAAAGUGUUUGAUUAGCUACUAUGCCACAGGGUUAUUAAAAUCAAGGGCAUAGUGAAUUGCUUGGUGAGAGACUCCUGAUAUAAGUCCACCAGCCUUAGUGAAUAAAUUGUUUAAUGUCACAGUGGGAUCUCAUAGAAUAAGAUAGAGUUCUUUUUUUUUUUUUUCUUUUUAGUACUGGGAAUUGAACCAGGCAUGCUCUACACUGAGCUACACCCCAAGCCAUUCUAGAGACAGAGUCUCACUAAGUUGACAAAGCUGUCCUUGAGCUUGUGAUCCUUCUGCAUCGGCCUCCCAACUCACUAGGAUUACAGGCAUGUACUGCUGCACCUGACAGGAUAGAGUUCAUUUUUAAUUUGAACCAAUAUUUUUUUUGGUGGGGUGGUGGUACUGGAGAUUGAUCCAGAGGCACUUUACUGCUUGAGCUAUUUCCUCCGUCAUGUUUAUUCAUUCAUUCAUUUUUGAGACAGUAUCCCUUUAAGUUGCUAAGCAUCUUUCUAAGUUGCUGAGAUUGGCCUCAAACUUGGGAUCCUCCUGCCUCAGUUUUCCAAGUACCUGGGAUUAUAGAUGUGUGUCACUGCACCUGGCUGGAGGGUACAUUUUUGACAUAUGUAUCUUACAUUUUUGUUUAAUUUUUGUGUUAUUGGGGAACCCAGAGGGGCUCUACCGCUGAGCCCUUUUUAUUUAUUUUUCAUUUUGAGAUACAUUCUGCUAAAUUGAGAUACAUUCUGCUAAAUUGCCGAGGCUGGCCUUGAACUUAUGAUCCUCCUGCCUCAGCCUCCCCAAGUAGCUGGGAUUACAGAUGUGCACCACUACAUCCAGCUGUAUCUUUUUUCUUUUUUUUUUCUAUCUCUCUCUCUCUUCGAGUUGUAGAUGGAUACAAUACCUUUAUUUAUUUUUAUGUGAUGCUGAGGUUUGAUCCCAGUGCCUCACACUUGCUAGGCAAGCGCUUUACCACUGAGUGCAACCCCAGGCCCCCAGGCCCCCUGCUACUGCUUGAGCCACAUCCCCAGCCCAUGCAUCUUAAUAUCUCUAGAUGGAGAGGAGCAAUUUGGGAAAGGGGGAAUGUUAAAAGCAAAGAUAACAGUGGGACUGGGGGUGUGGCUCAGUGGUAGAGGGAGUGCUUACUGUACAAAGAGGCCCUGAAUUUGAUCCCCAACACUAAAAAAAUGAAACAAAAACAAAAAUGGUAAUGUGACAUAGCUGAAGCAAGGCAUAUGUGUUAGAUAAGGAAUAUAACUUACAGAUCCUAGGAAAACAAUUUUGUCAAUAUGAAAAAUAUAAUGAUUGGCUUUUUCCUUUUAUGACUUCUCAAAAAGAAGUCAGGGAUGUGGAGAUAUUGGCCACUUUAGAUGUAUAGAAGAGUUUUUCAGGGAACUUAUUGUUUCUGACUAGCAUAUACUUGAUAUUGGAUUGAUAAUGGAUCUGAGAUCAGAUGUAUAGAAAAUGUGAACUUCUUUGAAAGCAGUAUAACUGAGGUGCUACCAUGAAGCCUUUAAAAUAUAAAGAAUACUGUUUUUUUAAAUUUAUUUUUUAGUUGUAGUUGGACACAAUACCUUUAUUUUAUUUAUUUAUUGUUUUACGUGGUGCUGAUGAUCGAACCCAGGGCCCCAAAUAUGUGCUAGGGGAAUUCUGAGCCACUACCCCAGCCCAAGAAUACUAAGUUUUUAGUUCUGUUUGUUUUUGGUGGUGGUGCUGGGGAUUGAACCCAGGAAAACUUGUGAAUGCUAGGCAAGCACUCUACCAACUGAGCUAUAUCCCCAGCCACCAAGAAUACUAAGUUUUUAAAGGUUAACUUAUUUGGUAAGUGUACUUUAAUGUUAAUGUACUGCUUCAAUAUAACAAAUGAAAAUAUAAUGCCUUCAUUACAAUUCCAGGUCCCUUUUGAAGGAAAUAAAAUUGUGUUAUUUCUAAUACGUCUAGGACACAGAGCCUGGCAUCUAAUAAUUCAGUCAUUUUGAAUGGACUUAAGAGAAGACAGAAUUAUCUGCAGAACGUUGAAAGCACAAAGAGAAGUCAAGCACUCACAUCCAGUUCCUUACUACAACUAACUCCAGUCAUAAAUGUUUAAUUUUCUUUUGGAGAAAAUUUUUUGUAAAAAUGUACAGAAGGAUUCUAUAGAAUCAAUCAAUCAAAUGAAUAUGUAAAAUUCCUCUAAAACCAAGCAUAUGUACUAUUAACCUCAUAAUUAUAUAUUUUGUUCCAAUAUUUCUAAUUUUCUAAUUUUUUUCCUUUUUUUGAUAUUGUAAAGCAGAUUUUAGCAGAUUAGGAAUUUCUGGGGAAUAUUUAGAUUGCAAUAAAAAACAUGGAGUCAUUGAUCCUUUUCCGAUUAAAUGUCAUUAAUUUUCGUUCAUUGGUUUCUCAAAUACUUAGGAUGCUAAUUUACUAUGUAGUGACUUUUUUUUUUCUUUUCAGUACUCGGGAUUGUACCCAGGAGCUGCUCUACCACUGUGUUACAUUCCCAGCCCUUUUUGUUUUCAUUUUGAGACUGGGUCACACUAAAUUGGCUGGCCUUGAACUUUGGAUCCUCCUGCCUCAGCCUUCCGAGUAGCUGGCAUUAUAGGAGUACACCGCCAUGCCUAGCUAGAGGGUGUUUUUUCUAAAAGUUUUUUAAUAAUCGCCAAAGCUUAGAUCUUAAAAGUGAUUGAAUAACUGGAGAGUUCUGAUUCUUACCAUCCUGAAGGUCCGAGUAAAGCUCAGCAUUGUUGGGAGCUACAUUCAGGUUCUGUGGAAGUGCAGAAGAGGGAGGUCAGAUUUACUGUUCUGUUUAGCAUUGGUCAGACCAUUCCCUCCUGACUGCUGGUUUUCAGUGGGCCUGGCCAACCUACCAUGCAUUCUAAAAUUAGCCAUGGUCACAGGGACCUGCUCAAAGUUCUUGUACCAAUAGGGGUAACCUGGCAUAAGGACUUGUGGGGGAGGUAAAAGCAGAGGCUUUUUUUUUUUUUGCAUUACUAGAGAUGGAACCCUGUUGUUGUUUUGGUACUGGGAAUUGAACCCAGCUUUACCAUCCCUGUUUUUUUUUUUUUUUGGAGAUAACUUCUUGCUGAAUUGCUUAGGGUCUAGCUAAAUUGCUGAGGAUGGCUUUAAAUUUGCAAUCCUCCUUCCUCAACUGGGAUUAUAGGCAUGCACCACCUCACCUGCUGUAUUAGGGAGUCUUACAACAUGGUAUCAGCACCAGUGAAUGGAAGUUAGAGAAAUAAUUCAACUUGGUAUGAGAACUUAACUAUUAAACAAAACUAUUUGAAGAUGAAGUAGGUAGCUUUGUAAAAUAAUAAAUUUUCUGUUACUUAGGGGAUUCAGCCAGAGGCUUGGUGAUCCCUUUGCCUGCUACAUUGCAGGUUUUCACAAUUUAGCUUAACAUAAUGGCUAACCUAGGUAGCUGAGGAGUCUUUCCAUAUCUAAGGUUUUAUGCUUAUGAAAUUUGGUAUCUUAUGAAAUAUUGAACUCAUACAAAAUUCCUGAGUAUUGCUUCCAGUUCUCCAUUUUUGCAUCUAUCAUUGCCAAUUAUUGGAAAAGAAGGUUUUAUCUUUGAAUCUUAGAUUAAGACAAGUAUCUUAGAGUGAGGAAUCCAAAAGGAAUUCUUUUGUGACUCUAGGAACUAAUGAUACCCAUCUGAUUCUGCCACUGUUACAUUAUGAAGCUCUAAUUAGAUGUAUUAAGUGAAAAUGAUUGUGAAACAAUAAACUUCCCUCCAUAACAUUCAGAAUCUCAAAUAUUAAAGAAAGAUGGGAAUAUGACCUAUUAAGUUGUUUUGGAGAUUAAUCUUUAAAUCAGGUGCAUUUUUUCUGAAUAACAUGUAUGUGUCUGAACUUUUAGUUCUUCAUUUUUAUUCCCUGUUGCAGUCUAUUCUCUAAUGAGAAAACUGUUUUCUACAGGCCGCUUGAUUAUUUGAGCUUAGGAGGAGUUAAGACCCAAAUUUGAAUCCCAAUUCCAGUUUUAGUACAUUGAUGAAGCAAGUUACCAACUUUCCCUGAUUCAGUUUUCUCAUCAACAAAAGGGAGAAUAGAAAUGAUAUCUGCCCGGCAGGGUGAUUGUGAGGUUUGGGGAUAGCUAUCCUAUCAAAAGUUUCUAAUGUAAGAGGUGUCUAUUAUUAUUAAAUGCGUGUGGUUGUGUGUAUGUAUGUGUAUGUGUGUGUGUAUGUAUAUGUAUAUACACACUUUUUUUUUUUUUUAAAGCAAGCUCUGGCAAGCUUUUGGUUGUUGUUAUAUGUUUUUGGCAAAAUUUUGUUUUUGUUUUUGGUACUGAGGGUUGAAUCCAGGGGUGCUUCACCACUGAUCCACAUCCCCAGCCCUUUUUAUUUUUUAUUUUAACAUAGGGUCUCGCUAAGUUGCUGAGGCUGGCUUUGAACUUGUGAUUCUUCUGCCUCAGCCUCCUAAGUCACUGGGAUUACAGGCAUACCCCACUUCACCUGGCUGCAAGUUUUAUUAAAGAAAAAUUUUUACAUGGCUUUAUCUUCACCAGUCUGUUCUGGCAGAUUUUUAAUGAUGUCCACCUGGUUUGAGGAUAGCCAAUGUGCAUAUUCUAGUACUUUUUGCAUGCUGUGCCCAAUUCAUUAUUAUUGCCACUGUAGUGGUGGACACCAGUUUUGACUAACAUGGCACAGUACUUUAUUUCAGAUUUUCUCAAAGCUGGGCAGUUGGUAAGGAUGAUCAAUUUUGCUUUGCACUGUCUGAGUCUAGUCUGCUUGUACCCCAGAGCAUACUUUCCACUUUUCAUAACAAGCUGGAACCUAGAAUUCAUCAAAUCCAGGGACUUUUUUAUCUUCUUUGUGGCCACCAUCUUCCUGCCUUAGGUGUGGGAUAGCUCCCAACCAAGAACAGCCACCAAGAUAGUCUGGGAAUGAGAAGGGAAGCUACGUCUUUAUUUUUAAAUGUAUUUAUGUAGUCAUAAAACUUGCCUGAGAUGUAAAUAUAUGACUUACUAUACAGGUUUCCUGUUUUGUCAGGUUGUCUAGAUCCUGUUAUGGAUUUAAGAUUAUAGAAAGUAUCCUCCAUCAAAAUUGAGGUUAUGUAUGGGAGAAGUAUUAUGUCUUUAACAAGUUUCCAGUUAAUACUUUAUUCUAUAAAUAGGAACACAGUAUGCAAAGUAUGGGCUUAUUUUAUAUAUUCAUAUAAUGUAAGCUACCUUUAAUUCAUCCUCUCUCAUCUGGGAUCUCAGACUUUAAGAAAACUCAGAUAAUAAGUUUAUUUUUUCUGCAAGCUAUUUUUAAUAUAUUUCCUUUGCCUAACUCCUUGUCAACUAAAACACUUUAAUUUCUUAGCUAGUGAAAUUACACCAGCUCAGCAAUGUGGCAUUAUCCCUUCUGUGUAUCUUAUUCAUAGAUUAGAAAAAUGACCAUAAUUCAAUUACGACUAAAUGCAAUUUAGCAGAAUAACUAUUUUAAAAUAUCAGAUCUAUAAGGAAAAACAAUGGAAAGACCUUGUAAGAAGUGAAAGAUUGCUGAAAACCUAUCUACAGGUGUGUGAUAAGUCUUUAAGAAAUGGGAAAAGACAGACUAUUGCCUAACAGGGAUUAGAAAAAGAGAUAUAAAACAAAUGAGGGAAGCCAGAUUUGGUGGUACAUGCCUGUAAUGCCAGCUACUCAGAGGCCUCUAAGUCAGGAUGAUAAGUACAAGGCCAGCCUGAGCAAUUUAGUGAGAACUCGUCUUAAAAUUUUAAAAAAGGGCUGGAGAUAACCCCUGGAAUCAAUCCGCAGUACUGGAAAAAAAAAAAAAAGAAUGAGUAUCCAACUCAGGACUACUUUGCUAGACUUGUUUAUCUUCCUGCUUUUGAAACACUGGAAUUUUCCCUCUAGCAGAAGCAGCUUCCAAAUAUUUCUUGGGUAAUGGUGCCCCCUUCUGGGAUAACUGAUGUGACUCUGAAACCCUUUGUAUAGCUUGAUUCAGAAUAUCUACUAAGUAAUUGAUUUAAGAAACAUAACUCCCUCCAAAGGUUAAAUAUUUUAAAACUAUAAUGAUUUGAAUUAGGAGUUAAAUUCAUACAUAAAUAUACAUGUUCUAAAUUGCUCAAAGAGGCCUCCUUUCCAAUGCUUCAAAACCUUAAGCUAGAGUACUUUUUUACUUCAUUUCUGUAGUACUGUUUGUAUUAGCAAAUCCUCCCAAUUUCUUGCACUGUCAGAAUUACUGUUCUCACUUUAUUAACACGUUUUUAAAGUUGAGUUGGCUAAGAUUACAUGGCUUGCAAUGGGAGAGAUAUUCUCUUCCCUUACUUUCUUUGUGCUUCUCCUUAGAACCAUCUGCAUUCUCUAUCCCCAAAGUCUCUUAUCAAUUUAUAAUUACUCCUUAAACUAUUUCUUGUCUUAAUAUUUUAAAAUGAUGGUUUAGAUUCCUGUUGAAACAAAAGUUCUACAUGCAGAUGUAAAAUGUUGUACUCAAUGUCUUUUUUUUUUUUAAU